rnacentral:lncRNA from 1 species
AUAUAUAUAUGUGAGAGAGAAGAGACAGAGGGAAAAUUUUGAAUUAGAAUAUUUUCAAAAGCACCAAAAAGUUUGUAGCCCUUGAAUAUAGUGAUGUAGCGGUAGGAUAAUUGUGGUAGGUGUUGGUAAGUAAAAUAGUAUUUGAUCUAAAUGUUAGAAACCUAAAAGCACUACACGAUUGGUGCUCCUAGGUGUAUUCUAGCUCAAUUCUAUAUAUAUAGGGAGAUAGUAAGGCUAAUGUGCUAUUAAGAGUAUAACAGUUUUUGUGCUCCUAAUUUUAUAAUCAUUUAUCAAUUUUGAUGAAUGAUUAGGGUGAAAAUAUAAGAGAAAUUUGAUGGAAGAAAAAUUAAGACACCUAAAUUCUCUCCUAUUUUUUUUCUCUCUCUCAUCAUAAUCAUCCAUCCAUAUUGAUGGAUGGUUAGGAAAUAAAGAGUAUAAGAACUGUUGUAUUUUAAUAGCAUAGUAGUCUCCUAUACUAUCUAUAGUACUUGGGCUCCGGUACUAAGUCUCGUUUUCGAUCUUAGGGUGUUCAAAUCAACGAUCCACACUGUUAAAACUGAUUUAGGGUAUUUAAAGUUUUUGAAAAUAAAAUUUUAUAUUUUUUCGACAUAGUUUAUUUUAUGAUCAAAUCAUUUUAAAAUUAUCAAUUUUCAAUGGCUACUAUGGCGAGUUUGGAGUUUAACGGUAUAGAAGAAUCUAAAUUUUUUCAAAUUUUGAUAAAAAAUACUUCAAUUUUUACUGUCCAUUUUGACAUAAUUUAUUUACUAAGUAAAUGAUGUAAAAAAAAAACUAAAAUUUUAUUCCUAAGAACUUCAUAUACCUUAAAUCAUAUUUAACGGUGUGAAUCGUUAAUUUGAAUACCCUAAGAUCGAAAAUAAAAUUAUAGUACCGGAGCUCUAUAUUAUAUAUUUUUGAGAGAUAGGUAGCACGCUACCUGUUUCGUUUAUUUUAUUUAGAAAUAAACUUACAAAAAUUGUGAAUCAACUAAGAUUCGAACUUGGGUCUCAGAUACCACCACCAAAUUCUUAUCACUUAUUCUAUGGACGGUCUGUAAUUUUAUAUAUAUAUAUAUUGAUUGUUUUGAGGUGAGGUAGGUAUUAUACCUAACAAACGCAAUGCCUAUCCUAUAUCCUCGGUCCAUUUACAUUGCACUGCAUCAUCGUAUGUCUCGUCUCUCUCCAGUCGGCACUGGCCAGCUGGACCUUAAAUAUAGUUGGUAGCUCCCCACCGAGCUCUAGCUAGCCUAAUUCAUGAAUCAUGAUUAGAGCUCUCAAGAUACUUUAUUAGCGUCUCGGGAUUGACUUGUAAGUGGAGAACUAAAAUUUCAUCAGAGUGCUCUUAUGCGCCGAAGGGCCCAGGGAUGUGAUACGAUCGACUUAUGAGAAUAAAAAAGGACAAAGAGCUAGAUGUUUUUAACUGUUAGAUAUUUUUUGAUUGAAAAUAAAAAAACACCAUGAAUACAAGUCAGAUUCAAAUAAACGAAAGGGAAGCCGAGUGUAACACAAGAUAGUGGGCUAAAAUAAGAGAGCUCACAGUCUACCUUCAUCUAGCAGUUAAAGCGGUGCAACUGGAGCUUGGCAUAAUUGGUAAUUAGAAAUAUCAAGAAGCUAGGAUUUUGAACAUUUGAUCUGUAAAGCAUUUGGCCCAACCAACCGGCCGUCCAUCCAGCAGCAGCAGCAGCAGCAGCAGCAGCAGCAAGGACAACAAAAACAAGGCCGUCCAUCCAACAACAGCAGAAGCAGCAGCAGCAACGACAACAAAAACAGAAACAGAGAAUCUCUGCCAACUCACUUUCGGUCCAAACAACAGGUAAAUGAGGAGUGCGGACCGCCCAUGGUUGGGUCCCGUCGCUUUGUCUGUCUGAGAUCCCCCGCCUCCUCCACGUCCAGCUCUCUUAUAGUCCUUCGAGAGCAGCCUGCUCGGCUCUCCAAUUUGGGAAGACAAACACACCUUUUCAACUGUAGCUUUACCUGACCACACGUUUAGUAGCUCAAUUGCAAGAAAUACGCUUACUGAGUUGAAGCAAAUGUGUGCCGCCAACUUGCUAAAGGAAGAAAAAGGAAUCAUAUAGACAAAUGUCCCUAGCACUAAGGUCAGUCAUCUCAGAAGUUAUCUUCCAAGUAUUAUGGACCUUAGAAAAUAUUAGAGCGAAUCGGUCCGUUGCAUUGCAUACACCGCCUUAAGCUACCUCCGGCACCAAAGUUCAUCCCGUGGUUCACGUUUUUAUUCUCAAGCAGUGAUUAGGCGACAAUGACCAUGCGGAUAGUAACCUACCUGAUCAUAUCCAUAUCCAAAGACUCGACGGUCAAGGACCAUGCGGUAUGUACAGUUACGCUAGUUGGAGUCUUUGUGGAGUUAAUUAGUCAAUUUGUAUUAGCGGGUACUGAGUACUAGUUUUCCUAAUUAUUAAUGGCAGUGGGGUUCUAACCAUUUUCUCCGCUUUCUUUUCUCUACCUCACCGUUCUGAAUUCCAUUCUUCCCAGUAAACUCUCUAACCUAUCCCACUUCUCUCAAUUUUUAUUGAAUUGUGGGCUUGCAACCAUGUGCGUCUGUGCACGAGGCCGCAGUGCCUUCUGCACUCUUAUGAAUGAAGUGGGUCAAGACAUUGCCUCAAAAGAGAGGCAAAACACCCCCCCCCCCCCCNAAAAAAAAAAGAAUUUAGUUUUACUCAUUCACGGUAAUUACAGCAUCUGAUGAUUACAUUCACACAAAGAGACAAGCCAGCCUCCAACAUGGAGACCCCACACGAGACGAAACGAACCACAAAACAGGCCCGACGAACCGCAUGAUGCACAAAUCAAAAUCAACACAUUAAUAUACACUAGCGACCAUCAACAAGGCCUUAACAAAAAAGCAUGCUUCCCACGGCCCCACCCAACCUACAGCAAAGCGAUGUCUCACAACAGAGAUCAGAUAAUGUUAAAAUUCAGUUAAAAGUUCAUUUAUAGAACUCUCAAGCUGCAAGGACAAUGAUCACAAUAAGCAGCACAAUACCAAAAAUCACCAAAAGCAAGCACAUCUGCAACAAACACACCAACAAUCAGCUGAAACAGACAAAUAUUAUUCAUUUUGAGAAAUAUUCUAGACCGCAUAUUGGGCAUACCAGUGAUGAAUUUGACUUCUGCGUCUUGGAUGCUUUUGCAAGUUGGGUAUUUGCCUGUGCAGUAGAUGCAGCAGAGUUCUCAAUGUUGGCAUCGAUGUCAUCUGCAGGAAAACAAUGUGACAUUCAUUGAGAGACUUUUUCAUUCCCAAUGGCAAGGGCGGACGGGUGUGUGUGUGGGUUACCAAUCAUGGCUCCUUGAUCAUGGACAAGCAUGGCUAGGUCCUUAAAAAUCUCAUUCACUUCACCAAUCUGCUGCUGAAUCUCCUGAAUGCCUUGUUCUCGCUCCUCAAUGAUAGCCUCAUUGAAAGCAAUCUCAUUAUCCAAUAACAAAACCUCUUGUCUGCAACAUCCCAUGAAUUUAAAAUAGGAGGGUUAAUCCAAUUACAAACACUUCCUGUGGACGUUGGAAACAUAGCAAUGUUAGCUGCUGGAUUUUGUCUACAAUUGUCGGGUGCGGCUGAAAGGAAAGCAUUAAAGACUUGCGCAAGGGUUGGUUCAGUCGGGAUGUUUUCAUGCUCACUGUAUUCAGACAACAAGGAAAAAAGCCCGAGCUAAAUUGAUAUAUCCAACUAAUGAAGGCACUUCACUGGUUAACUGGCAGGUCAGGCAGGAAAUCUGGAUUAUUCAAUAGUGCCACCGUUUUCAAUGGAGAAUUCGAAACAUUGAUCAAAGUGAAAUCUGGAGUGGCCAUUACAAUGGGAAAAGAGCACAAGCAGAAUUAAAGAAACGAAAGCCUCCUAUCAAUUUAACAGACAGAGGACCAGAUUGAAAUUAUCAGUCAGCACUGUUUUGAGCUUCAUAACUGAAACAAUCGACGAGAAAUCUGUAGGGCAACUAGAUAGGAUAGCACAAGGCAAGUGAGAUGUCCAAUGUAAGAGCGCUGAAUAAUUGAGAGUGUGGCAGCUCAAGGGUGAAAAACCAAUGUACGAGAAUUUUCUAAAAAUUGAUCAAAACUUCUCAGUGCAUAGCUCCUUGGGGCCAAACAACAACAACCAUACCUUAUAUCAAGUAAGCCACUAAUGAUAAUUAUAUAUAGCAAAACAAGAGCAUGGUAUACAGACCUCCUUGAUUCAACAAGCAAUGCACGUUGUUCAGGUGUUUUAUCAGGACGAACAUUUAUCUCACUUGCUGUGUAGCUGUAUCAAAAUGACAAGAGACAAGAUUCACAUAAUAAGUUGGCAGUUAAAAUUCAUUGCAAAGAAAUGAAACAAGUGCUUUCCUUAUAUCCAAAACAAGUGAGGCUGUGAAGACGAACAUGACCAGGAAGCUUCAAAAUAUUCAAUUUGUCAAAGUCCUGAACCCUUUUGUACAACAGAAAUAUCGAACAAAAUAUUCAAUAAGAGCUAAAUAAGCUACACCGCUAGGAUCCAGCCAAGUAACACUACCUUGAAGGAAGCACUGCUUGGGGAACAAAUGAAGUAUAAGCCGUCUCCCUCUGAACUGCAAGGUUUUGAGCUUUUUGGAACUCUUGCAUAAUUGCUUUGAAAUCUUUUGCAAGCUUCGCAUCAGCAAUCUUUUUGCUUGCCUGCAGUGAAAAUAGAGAUUUCUUAGAACAACAAAGAAAUAUAAGUAGAGGAUAGAGUUAUAAAUAUAACCUGAUAUUAAUAAAGUUAACGACAAACUGCGAAAAUUGCACAAUGCUGAAACCACUCAUCUAUAAACUUGUAACCCUUUCUGAACAAAAGAGCACCUCAAAUUACAAUAGAAAUAAACGCUUGGAAACUACAACAUGGUAAAGGAACAUAAUAGAGGCUAUGUACAAAGCAGGGAACUGGACCUUGAAGCUUCAGAAGGCAUGGGAACUCAUCAUCUGUCAUUAACAUAGCCAAAGGGCAAGCCAGAGAAUUGUGAAAAUUAUUCAAAAAAUUGAGCCGCACAAAUUAGGCAGAGGGAAGAACAAGAAUCCUUGCAUAACAAGAAAGAAAGUUUUUUCUCCUGCGCACUCUAUCAUGCUCUUCCUAGUAAAAGAUGGUAACAACUCUGUUGAAAGCACUAGAGAUGAACAAUUCAAGUCAUAGGUUGAAAAAUUGAUAACGAAGUAAGUUACCACUGAUUUUUUGUAAGCCAUUGCACGAUUAGCUUUUGCUUUUGUCCAGAUGCACCUUGAGAUUUUGAGAGAGUACUUGAAGUGAGAGCAAGCAAGAUUAAUACAUAUAAACUAGAUUUCAUUUUAACUGUUUGUAGGGCCCACAUAUAUUGGAAUUCAGCCCACACUAUAAGAAACUUGUAUUUUAUCGAGCAACAAGUAAGCAAUUUGAUCUGGUUAGGGCCUAAUGCGGUCAAGUUUAAUUUAGGGUGCUCUGGAUAGCUCACUUGCAUCAGAACAGCAACUGAGGCUUGCAAAUCAUUCAAAUGUGGAAUCAUGCGUUCCAUUUAUAAGAUCAAAGAGACAGAGUGGAUAAGAAGAAAAGGUUCUAAUAAGAUACUUACGCUGAUUUCGCUGUUUUUAUCUGCUUCACUAGCUAGUUUGAGUUUGUCCGUGGUAUCUUUUAUUAGCUGAAGAAUAUGUACCCGUGUUUUGUGCCUGCGAGAAGGACAACAUGAAAUAUUGAAUUGGGACAGAAAACAAAGUUUCACAUGGAAUAGUUGGCGGAAAAUUCAGCAAUAUAGUUGAUUGUCAACAAACAGCUGCCAAAAGAACUUUGCAAGCACAUUGCAUCUCGGACUGAGACGAAAAGCAGAGCUUUUCAAUGUUACUCGGGACAAAGAUUGAGGGAUCAUCCGCCUCAACAAAUAAAUAGACCAUUAAAAUAUCAACGCAGGUGCCUUAUGGUUGGCCUUUUCCAAAAGCAAUAAGCCUUGCCAUCUUGAUGAAGUGCUCUAUCGCGUCGCGAUAUGUUGGCCGUGCGGCCAAAUACAGCCGCAGAAUAAAAGACCAGGUAAAACUCUAAACCUGUCGAAAAGAAUUUAGGAGAGAAAGAUGUUGGCCUUCCGUGGACUUCCUCUCGUUGAAAAGGAACGGACACUAAAUUCCGAUGGAUAAGAAACAUCGUCGAGAUAAGAAUCAAAGUACAGAUCAUUCGGUAAUUAAUCACUAGCCAAAGAAAAGAGUUUUUUUUUUUUGUUUUCAGCGAAGAAAAAUCAUUUCAAGAUCAGGGAGAAACAACCAAUACCAGGAAACGAACCAAUCUAGACAAUCUGACAUUUUGACCUGCAGAAGUAACAAAAAAAAAAAAAAAAAAAAAAANNNNNNNNNNNNNNNNNNNNACCAAUACCAGGAAACGAACCAAUCUAGACAAUCUGACAUUUUGACCUGCAGAAGUAACAAAAAAAAAAAAAAAAAAAAAAAAAAAAAAAGGAGGAAAGAGGAAGUAAAGGGAAGUUGCGGACAGCUUAUCGCGGAGGUCGGGCGUGUCCUUGGGGGUGCCGAUGGUGUUGACGAGGCGCUGGAAGGUGGCGACGGCGGUGGUGAUCUGGAAGACCCCCGACGCCACCGCCUGCGUGGAUUCCUUGCCCUUCCUCCCGUUGACCGCCACAUUCCCCCACCGGCCGCCGCCGCGCCCCGAUUCCAGGUCCUGGAAGCUCAUCCUCCUCCUCCACCUCCUCCUCCUCCUCCUCCUCCUCCUCCUCUUUCUUCUUCUUCUGAUAAUGAUGCUGAUGAUUUUAUGAUGGCGAUGACGAUGAUCUUUUAUCUCCUCCUCCUCCUCCUCCUUUUCCUCCUCCUCCUCCUCCUCGGGGAAAAACACCGUCCGAUUUCUUCUUCUCCUUGACGACGACGAUGUUAUCUCUCCUCCUCUUCCCCGAAACAAAGGUGCGAAAGAAAGAAACCCUAGGUUGAACGGCGACGCAGAUGGUCGAAGAUGAUGAUUCGAACGCACGGAACGGAGAUGAAGAUCUCGGUGGUAGUGGGGUUUACAUUACAUAUGGGGCUUGUUUGGUUCGCCCUUCUUUAUCUAGGACGGUUCGCUCUUUUAUUACCUAGCAAUCGAAGGAAUAGGCGAAUCCAUUUAAGUAUUUGAUAUACGAAAAUUAUAUUUCGAUUUCAAUUUUUUGGUCAAUGGAAAAUUUUCAAUCAUUGCUUUUUUUUUUUUCCAAUCCUGCAGUUUGAAUUCCAGCGGAAAAAGAUGCACUUUACAAAAAAAAAAGGAAAAAUAAAUAUCUCAAUUAUAUUUUAUAUUUUAUAUUUUAAAAUUAAAUUCAUUUUUUAACUUAAAUUUUUAAUUAAAAUAUACAUUUAAAUUUAGAAUUUAAAUUUUUAACUCUAAAUUUUGAUUUAAAAUUUAAAUUAAAGUAUAGCCAUUUUGAAUUUGAUCUAUAAAUUUAAAUUUAUAAGUUUGAAUUUGAAUCAAAUUAAAAAUUAGUUUUAUAUAUUUCAAUUUAGAUUGUUAUUCUGAACCAAAUAUAUUGAAAAGUUUUAUGGUUUCAUUUUUAAUUCAUGUCCGUUCCAAUUUAUGUUCUGACUUUAUUUUUCAUUUUGAACUGAAACAUUAUUAUUAUUAUGUAAAUUACAAUAGUGAUUCAAACUGUUUGGUUCAAGUAUAAAGAGAAGAAUAAGGACCUUAUUCCUCUCUUUAUUCCCAAAUAAAUUUUUUUUUUGUCAAUUCACCUCUUAACGGCUUAUCCUUUUACUUCGACCUCUCCUGAUAUUCCUACCAAAUUAAUAAUAAAAUAUAAUUUAAUUAAUGUAUUAUAUAUUUUUUUUUGCUAAUGAACUAGAUAAAUAAUUAACUGCUUAAUUUGUUACUCAAAUAAAUAUUUUAAUUAACUAUUUGAGUAAUUAAUUUAUUAUUUUAAUUAAUUUGCUAAUUAAAUAAUUAAUUAUUUAGUGUACUUAUUCAAUAAUUAGUAUUUAUAUUGAUUAAUUAAUUAAUAUUUUGACUAAUUUAACUAUCUGAUUGUUAUUAAUUAAUUAAAUAAUUAAUUUAUUAAAUUACUUGUGAUUAAAUAAAUAUUAAUCACGAAUUAAUUUAUUAAUUAAUAUUUAGGGUUAUUUGGCAAUAUUUAUGAUUAAUUAGUAAAUUAAAUAAGUUGAAUUAUUAUUUAAUUAAUAUUUUGCAGUAAUUAAUUAGGUAAAAUAUUAUAAUGUUAAAACUAUAAUUAUUCUUAUUCUUGUUAUUCUAAUCUAAAAUUAUCCAAACGUUAUUUUUUUUAUUUUCAAGAAAAAUAUAAUUUUCAUUCAAAUAUAAAAUUAAUUUUAUUUUAGCUUACUCCAAGAGUUGUACCUAUCUCAGGAAUAGUCUAAAAUAGCUUAUUACAAAUAAAAAAUGCCUUAAAAAAAAAACAACGGAGAGGGAAUAGGCUUACAUAGACAGGUGACGAUUAUCGGGCUGGGCUCACGUACUAGAGCCUUAUUGUUUAGAGGGUAAGGGCCCAUGCUAGCCCAUCUUGCUUUUUCUCUUCCCCCAAUUCACGUCCUCGUAUUUUUCAUUUAUUAGAUUAUGUUUGGUUCGAAUAUGACAGAAUUGCGGGCAAUAUGUAAGGAUUACUGUAUUUGAUUCAUUCGGUAUAUAAUCAGGUCAGUAAUGUAAUAUUACAAAUGAUACAAAAUUGAACCGAAAAUAUUAGGGGCUGUGUAUCUUGGAUUAUUGAAGGCGGCUAAUCUUAAAAUUAUAAGUUUACCCCUCCAACUAUCGAAAUCCUUUCAAUACGUUAUUUUAAACAUUUUAAUUUAAAAUUUUGAAUUGCCAACUUUUAAAAUUUAAAAUUUAAAAUUUUAAUUUUAAUUUUUUAUUUUCAAAUUUAAAUUUUUAAAUUUUAAAUUUUUAAACUUCAAAUUUCAAAAUUUCAAUAUUACAUUUUUAAUUUUUAAAUUUUAAAAUUUUAAACUUCAAAUUUCAAAUUUUAAUUUUUAAAUUUUAAAAAUAAAUUUUAAAUUUCAAAUUUAAAAUUUAAAAUUGACAAUUCAAAAUUUUAAAUUAAAAAUUUUAAAAUUUAAAAUUUUAGGUUCAAAUUUCAAAUUUCAAAUUUGUAUUUUAAAUUCCAAAUUUUAAAAUUAGAUUUUAAAAUUUAAAAUUUAAAUUUAAAUUUAUAUUUAAAUUUUAGAUUUUAAAUUUAUAAAUAUCAUUUCUAAAUUUUAGAUUUUAAAUUUAUAUUUCACAUUUAUAUUUUAAAUUAAAAUAUAAAAUUUUAUAUUUCUAUUAAAAUUUAAAAUUUUAAAAAUUUAAAUUAUUUAAAAUAAACUUUAGUAAAAAAAUUAUUUGUAAACAGUAAAAAAAAAAAAGUUUACAAAAUAUUNCGACUAAAGACAAUCUUAUAAUAGUCUAUAUUUUAUUGUUAAGAUUAUUAAAUUUUAUAAAUUGAACAAAGUAAUAAAAUAUUAUAUUAAAUCAAACGCGCUAAUACAGUAUCAAUAGUAAUUUUUUUUAGAAAUUCAAAAUAUUUAAAUAUAUCGAAAUACUUUAUAAUAUUAUAUAACUCGAACAAAAUGCAGUACUAUUGUUAUUCCAAUAAUAAUAAUAAUAAUAAUAACAGUCAAAAUAAUCCGGUUCCCAUAAAUAAACAUAAAUACAAACUGAUACUAGGGUCGAACCGGGACCUUAUCGUUAGCGCAAGCACGGGCCCAGGCAAUUUGAGUCCGAGUCUGUUUCGGCGGACCGCCCGUGGAGCGGAAGCGAGAGCGAGAGAGACGGAGAGAGACGGAGAGGAGCGGAGAGGAGAGGAGAGGAGAGGAGCCGCGGUUGAACCUGGAAAGCAGGGGCGAAGAGUUCUGCCGCGGUUGAUCGUGCUCCCUCUCUCCCGCGCGAUCUGUGUCCUGGGAUUUGGCAGUUGAAAAGGUCGAAUGGGUCGACCUCCGCAUGGCGGCGGCCCCGUCUUCCGAUUCACCUUCAACGAGGUAAACCCCUCCCCCCUACUCGUCUACUUUCCCGCAGUUUAGCUUCCCCGUAUCUAUCUAGGGCUGGUCGCUGUUUAGACUUUAUUUGGAUCCACCAAAUAUCUUAUUCCGCAUGUUUUCAUUAUUUACGUGAGAAGGUUGUACGAUUAGGCCGUGUUUGGACGUCGGAACAAGUAGAUAACUUAUUCGAUAUGAAAACUUUUCUAAUAUCAUUGUAAUUAAGAAGUUUGAUUUUUGUUCUUUAAAGGUUUUGUUAUCCAUAAUUUUGUCGAAUAGUAUAUUUGACCUAUAAAGUCAUAUAUCUUAUUCAAAAAGAUGAUUUGAAGACUGAAUAUGAUAUUUCAUUUUAAGCAUUUGAUCGCACUCUUUAUCUACAAAAUGUAUCUAUCAAAUGUAUAAAUUUCUUGAGUAAAUCAAGAGGAUAUACCAAACGAGAUAUUCAUACAUCCAAACAGGACCUUAGUAGAUGAGGAGCGUGGCCAAAUGUCUAAUGUGAAAAGCUAAUAUAUUUAGUAGACCAGGAGUGUGAUCAAAUGUCUAGAAUUAGAUACUAUAUUCGGCCUUCAUGUCAUCUUUUCGGAUAAGAUAAAUCAUUUUGUAGGUGAAAUAUACUAUUCUACCAAAUCAUGAAUAUCAAGAUCUUCCAAGGAGCAAAAAUUCAACUUUUUUUUUACAAUACAAGCAAGGCCUUUUUGUUCUUGCGUCCGGUUUUUCAUUGGAUUUCUAAAGUUCUCGCUUUAGGAUAUUGACCAGUUUUUCAUUGGAUUUUCCAAUAUAAACACAAUAAGUUUCAUUUUUAGUUACGCGUCCUUCAUUUUCCAUUGGAAGUUGAUAUUUUCUCCCCAUAAAAUAUGAGAGAGAGAGAGAGAGAGAGAGAGAGAGAGAGACAUUCCUUUUUUACUCUUUAUCACCUUACAACACUAUGUAACGUAGGUAAUCUGGAACUGUUCUCGCGCGCUUUUCCAUGUUUGUGUUUUUGCUGAGACUGCCUCAGACAGACCAGACGCCUGAGCCGUCUCUCAUCUUGCCAAAUGUGUCCAAGUUAAGAAUUCAUAAAAUUUCCUGUAUUGUUGUGUUGUUCGGCAUGAAUUUGGUCGGACCCGUUUGGAACUCAGCUAAGCAGAUCCAUUUAAGCUCUAUGUGGACUUAGUACAGUGUGUAUAACACUGACAUAAUUACCACGAGUAAGAUACUGCUGCUAUUAUAAUCUGUAUAACACAAGUUUAUCUAGUAAGUCCUAUUUUUAGGUUGUUGAGAUGGAAGCACGCCUGGAGGAGGUAAAUAAUGCUAUACCUGCUCGUCAUGUUAUAUGUGCCCUUGCAGAGAAGUUCAGGUAUGUGCUAACAUCUAGCUUAUCUGCGGUCACCUUCUGCUUUUUCAAUAUCUUUAGUAUUUUAAGACUUAAUACUAAUGAGCAUCAUCUGCCUUAAGUGCAUCUCCUGAACGAGCAGGAAAGAUUGCCGUCCAGCCAAAGCAGGUACAAGCUUGCCAAUUCCCUAUAGCAAGAACAAACCCCUUUGGAAACUUCCGCUCAUUCUCAAUGUUGUUGCAGGUGUGGAACUGGUUUCAAAAUCGUAGAUAUGCACAAAGAGCCAAAUCUACUAAGGCGUCUGCAAAGCUGACUGUCUCACCUAUGGCCCAGGAUGAUUUACCUUCAAUCAGAAAUGUUGUUCCUCCUGUUCCUGUUCCUACUGGUGCAUAUCGUACACUUGAUUAAUUUAUCAAUAUCAGGAUAAUACUCAUUGACGUUUCCUUCAUGACAAGCUAUUCUUACUUUGUGAUAUGCUGCUUAAUGCUUUAUCCAUGUUUGAAAUUUAUUUCACCCAAUAUUUUGUAGUUAUGGGUGACCCUCUCAGGUUUGGUGCAGUCUGUUUAGGAAGGGUCUAGUUGGUUCUGGGUGGGGCUAGUGUGAAUUCAAACUAGUUUGGGCUGAUUCAAUUUUCUGUAAAUUUGCAUUAGAUUCGGCCUUUUUGUUUGCCGGUGUGAUUUGGCCUAACUUAUGGACAUGCUGAGGGUUCUAUGUUCGCUGUUGGAUUAUAUAGCUUUCUUUUUUUUUGGGUACAAUCUUCGGUUUUGAAGUUCUCUUUCAAUGAAAAGGUUUCAACUCUUGAGAAGAAGAGGACGAAGUUACAAGAGGAGGGGCACUUAUAAGGAGGCAAUCAUUUUAACAUCUGUAAAUAGCUGUGACCCGCUUGAGAAUCCAUCAAGAUUCUCAAAUUUUUUUUGUUACAUUGAUUGUUUUGUUCUUCUAGGAGAUCUUUGUUUCUUUUGCUUCGAGGGAAAAUCUGCUUAUUGAUGUUCAUUUGACAACUUUUUAAGUUACCAAUGGUACUCAAGUUUUCCUCCUCUUCUGUUAGUUUCUGAAUUUUGUUUUUACUUCCCCUUUGUUCUUGAGACACUGUAGCCAUAUCAUCAACCAACAGAAAUUGUUGUUAAUUUGUUGAUUGUUGAUUUGCAGCGUUUGCUGUUUUCCUUUGUGCCUAAAAUCACCUAUUUUUAAGUCCUUGGGUUCUAUUGCUCUCUAACUUAUUGUUAAGCAUCUUUGAGACUUUUGUGAUUCGUAACCAUCAAAUGCAGGAAGAAAUUCUCUGGAGAAUGGCCAAAUGGAAUUUGAAGCGAAGUCCGCUAGAGAUGGGGCAUGGUAAGUAGUCAAUUUAUGUGUGAUGUUUUGUCUAAGUGAUGAUGUUGUGUCUAAGUGAUCAUCAGAUAAUACCUUCUUCCUCCUUUCAUUGAUAGAUCAAGAAAAAAUUAGUCAUCAUCUAUGCCUUCUUCUAUGCUCAAUCUUCCCUUCACAAAUAUUGAAGGCACAUGUUUGCAAGAGCAUAACAGUCAUUUUGGCAGACAACUCUCAACCUUUAUUUGUAAACUAAUGGUAGUCAUAUUUUGGGAUCAUGUUACAAAUUUGUAACAUUUAGGGCUUGUUUGGUUCAAGGGUGGAAUUGGAAUGGAUAAUAGAAUGGGAAUGAAUUGGAAUGAUAAUUGGAAUGACCCACUCCCCCAAGACGUUUGGUUUAUUUAUGGAUUGGAAAUUAGAAUGAGUUAUUCAAAUUUCAUUGUUUGGUUCAUAUAAACUAAAAAAAUUAUAGAAUACUAUAAUAGUAAUUUUACUCUCAAAUAUAAAUUUAUAUUAUUUAAAAUUUAUGAAAAAUAUAAUACUAUUCUCUAAUAAGUUUUCCAAAAAAAAUAUCAAAUUUAUUUUUAAAAACUUUUAUUGAUGUGGGUUAGGGAUAGGGUUUUGAGAGAUGAUAGGUUUUUUUUUUUUUUUUGAUGAGAAAGGGGUGAAGAGAAGGAGGGUGAGAUGGUCACAUGGGCUUUGGGCUUCCGGAAUGAAAUCUCAAUCCGGGCUAGAAGACCGGAAUCAAGUUGAAGGCUAAUGGGCCAUUCCCAUUCCAGUCCGGAAUAGGAAUUCCAAACCGAUUCAUACAAACCAAACAAAAUUAACCGGAUUUGAUCAAACCGAUUCCCAUUUCAUACCCAAAAUAGAUGAACCAAACAAGCCCUUAGAGGGAUAUAUUUUAUAAUAUAACUUUGGAGGGACAAUGUGCAAUUUUAAUGGAUUGGCCCUUUAAAUUGAACCUUGAACUUUGCUGAAUGUAACCGACGAAACUGGAGCUGAGAGCUCUUCCCCUCAUAAAAAAUGCUUUUGAUUCCCUUAACCUCAAGUAUGCAACCUAGCUUUUUUGCCACCAAAAUGUUAUCAGUUGAGCUUGGCCAACUGAAAGGGGCUUUUCAAUCUACCUUCUGUGAGCUUCUUAGAAUAGUGAAUCCAAGGCAGCUAGGUAUGAGUUGAUACGGUGCUAAAAUAUAAAGUAGGAGUUGUAAAGUGCUAAGUUUUAAGUGCUCUAACUAUUUUUAGAUGUCUAUUUCUGUGGAGUAGCCUCUUUGCCUGAUUUUGUAACGUUAGGUUCUGGCCAAUAGCAACAGGAACUAUCUGUUUUGCUUUAAAACCUUUUCUUUGCAUGUAACAGAAUAUUUCAGCAUUAUUCUGAUUAUCCUCUCUAUGUUUGCUUAUAGAUAUGACGCUACUAUAUGGCAGCUAUUCUUUUCUGUCUUCUGCUGCUUUAUAUUUGAUCUAAUUUUGCUUUGAUAUACAGGUAUGAUGUUCAAGCAUUUCUUUCACAUAGGAUGUUUGAAAUAGGUGAUCCGGUAAUGAUACAUAUUCUCUGUUUCUAACUCCAUGUGCAUCAGCUUAUGCAUGUCUUACUCAAUUCAUGUGCUUUUGAAGUCGAGAGAAAAGAUGCAUUCUACUAGUUAAUUUCAUUUGUAAUUUUCUAUUAUUUGCAUGCAUCAGGAAGUUCGAGUUCGUUUUCAAGGGUUUGGUAUGGAAGAGGAUGAAUGGGUUAAUGUGCGCAGGUGUGUCAGACAGAGGUCUCUUCCUUGUGAAGCUGCAGAAUGUGUUGCUGUACUUCAGGGUGACCUCAUACUUUGUUUUCAGGUGCUGUCAGGUUACCAGGAUUCUGCUUUUAAAGUUUAAUAUUUGUUUCCCUUUUCUUGUGUGUCUAAAGCCUAUAGAUGUUUGUACAAAAUGCCUAAACAUUCUUGUGCUCAAUUGAGAGAUCUGGCCUUAUUCAUUGGGCAGCUACUUUAAAGACAUUCUUGUGCUCAAUCAAAAGAUCUGGCCAUAUUCAUCCAGCGAUUAAGACGCUUUUUAAAUAUUCCUUUCUGCUGCUGGAAUUCACUUCGACCUUCCUUAUUCAACAGCAUUCUCUAGCCAGCUAAAAUCUACAUGUAAAAUUGUGGAAAUAAAAUUUAAAUGCUUUUGUCAUCAAUGCAAUUUCCUAGCAUGAGACAGAUUUAUUACAAUAAUGCUUUUAAAUGAAAGUAGUUGAAGAAACAGAAUAGAAUUUUUUUGGAUUAUCUGUUGAAACCUUAAAAGGAUAAUGUGGUACAUCUGAAUUAGUGCUAUGCAUUUUCACGACGUAGUUUGUAACUAGGAUUUUUCAGCGUAAUGUUUAUAGCUAAGAAUUUUUAGCGUAAUUUUCUGGAGUCAUUCACGAACCUGAAUACACUGCUUUUUAAUAACUUUAUGUAUUUUUGGUGAAAAUUUGAAUAAUCAUUGGGUUAUGGGCCAAGUCCAAAAUAUGCAAGGCUAGUUUUCCCUCAGUUUGCAACUUCUAGUUAAAUAAUACUUUAGAGGUGUUAUAUCAUGAUAUGAAAAAUUUGGUGACAAUAUCUCUAUUGUUAGUAUUGUGAUCUCAAAUCUAUUGCUUUACUGUUCCAAGAAAGUGCAAAAUGUGCAAUUAUUAAGUAUGCUUGAGGUGGUGGUUAAUCUCUCUCCUCCUUUCUCUAUUUCUUUGUUGUUAGUGUUGUGAUCUCAAAUGCUAGUUGCUUGAGCGUUGGUUGAUCUCUCUCUCUCUCUCUCUCUCUCUCUCUCUCUCUUCUAUCCUCUCCUUUUCGCCCUUUUUAGGCUCUAUUGUCAACACAAAGACAUUUUGUUUAUUUUAUUUCUGUGACCCCAUUUACUCGAUUCAACAAUGAAUAUUAGUGGAUUUGCAUUUUUUUCCUUUUUCUUCCUUCAGCAGAAUUUUGGAUCUUCCAUAAGUUUUCAUGCCAUUUACGCAAGUUGUGUGCCAUGAAUAAAUUGCCUUUGGGACAGUUAUGAUGAAUAUCAAAUUUGGAUACAUGACUUGGCCAAUAUACGUGGUCAAUAUUGUUGGGUCGUUUGUCUUCAUUCAUUAUACUUGUUCACAGUCCCCUGGCCUGUUACACAGACCAACCAGCUAGUGGCUAUCUGAUAGUUGUUCAGCUUGCUGAUUAUGCUAAAAUUUCUUACUUGGGUUUGAGAUAACAUCUUUGACCAGUCUCCUUUUGAAUAUACUAGAGUUAACUGUAAGAUUUUUGAGUAAAGUUGAGAAGUUCCUUUACCAUGAUUGUUCGAUCAUUAUGGCUGUCUUGCAUGGACUUGGUUUUCUAUUCUUGGUAGUUUCAACUUUUGACUUAUGCCAUCUUAAUUAUAGUGGUUCAAAAUUUCAAAUAAUGUAAGCUGCUGUUUAUUGUAGGAGUAGUAACCCAAAGUAUCUUUUAGAUUAGAGGUACCAGAUAUAAAGCACUCUGUUGCUUCAUUAUUACAUUCCUAAAGUUUAAAGAUUUCUAGAUUAUUUUUAUUGGAAUUAAACUCAAAUGUUUUGUUUUGUGUUUUCAGGAAGGUAAAGAGCAGGCUCUUUAUUUCGAUGCCCAUGUCCUUGAUGCACAAAGGCGUAGACAUGAUUUACGAGGAUGUCGAUGUAGAUUUUUGGUCCGUUAUGAUCAUGAUCAGUCUGAGGUACUUAGGAAAUUUCUGUUAGUAUAAAUCCUCUUCUCCUCUGUUAUAUGCAUGCAUGAAGUUGCAAACUGUUCUAGAUUACAAAGUUACACAAUAAUCACCAAGUAGCAUUCCCAAUCUGAGAAUAUGUUUCUCAAGGGCUUUUCCCUCAUGUAACAAUUCGUGUGUCAAGUAGGACAGUUGGAUCUUCGUAAGUCGCUCUACCUGUGGAUUGGCCUUAUAUGUCCAGUGCUGAAGGUGUAGCAAUUGCAGCGAUAAAUUUCUCUAGGGUGGGACUGUAGGAAGUAACUUAACAAGUGAUUACUUUUGUAGCUACUUGUUAUAAAGGUUAAGCUUGCAUUUAGCACUUGCUGAUAUCCGUGUGGACUGUUCAUUUUGCUCUGCUUGCAUCAAAAUAGAACAAUGUCCUUUUUCUGGGUUGAGGAUAAAUUGCAAUUAAUUCCACACAAGUCAUCAUUUUCAGUUUAGAGAAAAAGGGGAUUUGCUAUCAAAUACAAUUUUGUUCCACUACUUGAGUCAUUUUUGCACAGAUGGCUUUAGCAUAAUGGUUUAUAGCAUAUGUAGAUGUGUUCUUAGCCUUUCCAAAGAACUUACUCUGCUGCAAGUCAUUUUUUUCUUAAGCCACGAAAUACGGGAUUGCGUUGUUGUUGUCAGAGUUUUUCCAAGAUUGUCAUGUCAAAAUGUUAUAUAGAAAAUAAACAACAGUACUCACUGCUUCAAGUUUACAGACACAGUAGCCAAGUUGCCAUCAAAUAUCCUUUUUUUUUCCCUUGUUUUUUUGAAGAAAAUUUUAAUCAUGAGUGAUGCUACUGUCUGAAAGCAGGAAAUAGUGCCACUGAGAAAGGUAUGUAGGCGGCCGGAAACUGAUUACAGGCUACAGAUACUGCAAGCAUCAAGAGGAGCGUCAGGAGCUAUGGAUCAACGGGCUAUGGUGAAAGCUCCAACAAGCAUACCCAAGGAUAUCAAUCCUAUUGUCACAAAUAGGACUAAUCUGAAGCAGCAGAAACUGAUGGAUGUUAACACUGAUGAGGUGCUAACAGUCCUUCCUGCUGCUGUACCAAACACGGACACAAACACGAAGGAGGAGCCUACUAUCGGGGGUGAUCAAUUUGCCUACACCUCUCCGAUCCCCCCACACACGGUUAGUCAUAGCAAUAGUACCAUUCCAGAUGUAACCAUGGGCGACGCUGUGCCUCCAGGGAACUCUACAAAUUCUGAUUACCCACAAGAAGGAAACGUUGAAGUGUGAAUGUGCUUUCUUGAUUGCUGCAUUGUACUUUAUCACUGUCUAUUAAACUGUUUGGGAAUUAUGAAAAGCUUGAAUUGCUCAAACACAUUUGCAGUGGAGAGUAUCAUUUGAUACUGGUCUCUAUUUGAUGCAUCUAUUUGUUUGGUUGGGAGAUGAAAGGAUUAGUUAGCAGUAUUCCCUCUACCCUUCGGAGCAGAUAUAAAGAAAAACAGUUUUUGUUGGCAGUUAUUUCUGGUACCCAUGUAAUGAAUUUCUUGAAUCAUGUAAAUGUAGGUUAUUUUGGUGGUGCAUAUGUAAUGGAUUCUUUGGAUCACAUAAAAUUAGCGUCACAGCUUGCAUGCCAGUUGGGAUGUAUUUUGGGCCGUGCACCGCUGGCACGCCCACAUUUUUUGGGGGCCCGGUCUUGCCCGGUUGUGCAGCGCCGGAUCAGAUUUUGUGGACUUGUGGCCCAGCAUGGACCUUGGCCGGACCGGAUUUUGUGGAUGUGUGGCCCAGCAUCGACCUUGGACAGAUGGCACGGGCCGGGGCUGGUUCCGUGUGGGCCUAGUAUUUUGUUUAUUUUUUAGAUUUAAAUUUUUUAUAUCUAGAAGUUUUAAAAUAUAUAGAUACUUUUAACUAUUAGAGGGGUAUUGUAGGUCAAAAAAAAAUAAUUUUAAUUUUUUUGAAAAAAAAUUAAAAAGUUUUUGGGAAAAAAAAAUCAAAUUUUAAAGAUCAUUUGAAUAAUAUUUUAAAAUUUUGAUAAAUUUUUAUAAAAUUAUUUGGAUUGAAUUUUUUUUUUUUUAAUAAAAAAUCUGGUGCAUGAGAAAUCUGGUGAUUGGUGUGAAGGAAGAAAAAGACAGUUCAAUUAGACAAUAAAGAAAGGUGCGUAAAAGGAUCAACGAAAAUUAAUUAAUUAAUUAAUUAGGCUCUAUAUAUCUACUCGAUAUAUUUAAUCAAUCGCUCGAAUGACCACCGAACUAAAUACAAAAGGGAGGAUUCAUUGUACAAUGUCAUCGCUUCCAAACGACCCAGUCGAUUGCCGACCAUCAUCGGUGGUGGAGUGCUCACGUACGAAGGAUUACGAGCGCGAAAAUGUCAAAGCAUGCAUGCACGUGUGAAGAACCUAGCUUAUUACAAUUACUUAAUUUCGUUGAUUGACGUCCUUGCUAUUGGCAAUGUUUGAAAGCCAAUAGGCUGCAGACAAGUACGUAUGCCGUGUGCAGAAAAUUAAAGAUGUGACUCGGAGUGUCCACCUGCGUAGAAUCUACCUUCUAUCGUGUAUAUCCAUGCCAUAUGAUAUGAUCUGCAAAAUAAGCCUUACAACAUUUAAACAGAAAACAAUGAAAGAGAAAUUACUACGUACCUUCCUGGUCCACCUGCAGGCCAGCCAUGGACUGCAGGUUUUCUCCGACCAACUUUUCGAAAAGGAAAAAAAACAAAAAAUAAUUGAAGAAAUUAAAGAAUGUAAAUUAUUAAUAAGUGAUUCAAACCGAUUUGCAGUUGAAAUGCGAUGGAGGAAGAUUGUAUGGGCAGUCCACGCCCCAAAAGGCGAAUCAAAUUAGCCGUAUAUAUAUAUAUAUAUAUAUAUGCUACAAAGUUGGAUCAGAUAAUUGCUUACAUGUACACCCCUGAUCAAAACUUAGAAAAUAUCUUAUUUAUUUCUAAAAAAAAUUGUUUAAAAAAUAUACCAACAAGCUUUCUUUGUUAGUAUUUGUUACUCAAAUCUAUGCUCACUAUUAAUUAGCACAUAUUAGUUCAUCGAUCUCGACUGAAAUACUAGCUAUUUUUGCCUCUUUAUAUUUAAUCCAUUUUACUAGUCAAGGAAGAAGAAGCUUCAACUUCUUUUCGCCGUAGUCGAAGAAGAUGAAGCUUCAUUUUCUUUCAACUUGCAAAAGAAAAUGACAAUUGUAAGGGCAAAUAAAAAAAGGAGAUUAUUUAAAAAUAAAUAAAAAAGUAGAAAAUUAUUUAAGGACAAAUAAGAAAAGUAUAAGAGACUGUUAAGAACAAAUUAGAAAGGUAAGUGAUAGUAGAAAGUGUUAAAUAUAAAAUUAUUUAAACACUGUUCUCGAUCUAUAAGCUUAAAUUUUUUGAGCAUAACGAUUGUUUUUAAAUAUAAAAAUAUUUAAACACCAUUUUUUUCACAAACUGAGGCUUAGAGAAUAACAGUUAUUUCACGUGGUAUUAGAGUAAGAAAUUCUGAGUUCAAUUCACACCAGGCUUCUAAAAUUAUUAAUUUUUUCUCAAUUAAUUCAAGUCCACCUACGUCAUGGACCUAUAAAAAGUCUCGAGCGCAGAUAUGAAGGAUAGUGUUAAAUAUAAAAAUAUUUAAACACCAUUCUCUAUAAGCUUAAAUUUUUAGAAUACAAUGGUUAUUUCAUGUAAAGUAAAUUUAAAUAGGCAAAUAGGCAUUUCACAUGCAGAAAAUAAUGAUUGUUUUUAAUGGCGCACUAACGGAAUGUGACUCUUAAGGAUAUACUUGAAAGAGUUUGGAACUUUGUAGGAAUUUGUUUUAGAAUAAUAAAAAUUUAAAAGAAUAAUUUUCAUAUUAGCCUUCUUAAAAAAAUAAAUAUAAAAGUAAAAAACCUUUAUAGGGACGUUCAAGCAGCUGCCCCCCAAAAGUAGAGCAUUAGAUUUAACAGUAGCUGGUUGGUUCACAUGUUAAAGUAGAAGCUGAUUGUUUAGAUAAUAUAUGUUCACAACAACCGACUAAUCUUUUUUUAAGAAAAGGCAUUUGUUUAUAUACCCGAUACUACUAUUAAAAAAUUUUAAAUUUAUUUCUAAAUAUUCAAAAUAUUCUUUUAAAUUCCAAUUCCAUUGCGUAGAAUUAGUUGGAGUACAAAGCAAUUGAAUUGGGUGGUCGUGAGAAUUAAAAAGAUUAUCUUUAGAGUGCGAUGCGAUCUAUUAUAUACAGCAGGGUAGUUUAAGAUGACAAUGGUUACAGCUGUAUUUAAUUUUCAACGUCCUGCAAUUAGCAGAAAAAGUGAAACUGGGCAUUGCUGGCACAUGAAAUUAAGCUUGCAGAUGCAUAUAUAUGGGUAGGAAUACUCGUUAACUAUUUGCGCGAGAAACUCCAUUUCCGUAUGUAUAGUUUGGUAACAUAAUAAUUAAAAGUAUUAUAUAUUAUCAUAAUAAAAAUAUUUUAAAAUAAAACACUUUUAAUUUUCAGUGACAUGUUUAAUUUUUACAGUAACGGUUCAACCAUACUUUUUUAAAUAUAAAACAAGUAAAGAGAAGUAGUCUUAAAUUUUGGAGUAUUUUAUAAUAUAAAUAUCGUAUUUUUAAAGGAUAAACAAAGCAAAAUCGGCUGAUGAAGUACUACAAAAAAAAAAAGAAAAAAAAGAAUUGUACAUAACCUAAAUCAUAAAUAUAAUUAAGCCCGUUCUGUUCGCAGCUAUGGUGCGGCGCUAUAACCCGGCUAGCUCAGUUACAAAAAUUUAACCUGCAAAGUAGAGAUAUUUUAUGUAUCCGGAUCCAUGCACAAUCUAUUUGCCGGGUCUGAAAAUUUUGCCGCACCGUACCCCUUCGCUAGCAGGUUGGGCUCGGAUCCAGUAGUUAGCUAGUCAACUAUAGUGCUCACCCGGUUCGGCAAAAACGAAUUCAGAUAGCCUAGCUAGAUUAUUUCAGACAGACUCUUGAUUAAAAAUAUUAUUAAAUAUAAAAAAUUGUGUUUAAUUAUCAACGAGCCUCGAGUCUGGACGUGAAAGGUAUUAGCCAGUGUCGAAUGUAAAAUAUUCAAAAUAUCGUUUUCGAAUAGUUUAACUUUUUGAAGAUAAACAAUAAUUUCACAUAAUUUAGCAAAUAUCUUAAUUUGCCUGGGGUUUGACAAAAUUAUCAUACUGACAUUUGAAUUAAGUAGUGCUGACUACAGCAUUACUGUAGCUCAAUUAAUUAAUUGGCUUUCGAUUUUUAAUUAAAAUUAAGGAAAUUAAAGACCAAUCAUGUAGCCUACGGCCGGGAAGACUUCAGUAGUUAGCCACACGACUUUAAUUAGCUAGACUAGACUAGAUAUUCUUUUUGUUUUGCCAACUUGAAUUAUUAGAUAAUUUUACCCCACGAGUUAAAAAGGGUUAUAUAUUCAUGGAACCACGCAUACAUGCAAGAUCUUUUGCAAGAGAUGAUUUUUGUUUUUGUUGCUAAUUAAGACACGACCGUCGUGAGUCGUGCAAGGAAACCACACGGUAUCAGCUGAAGAUGGAGGGGGUACUGUUGAGAUUUUGCUCUUAAUUUGUAAUAACAAUAACAAUAUAUAUAUAUAGUUUAUUAAUUAGUCCAUGAUUUGGUUGCCUUAAUAAAUUAAGAUUCCAAAAUGGAUGGGUGAUUCACACCUUUUAAUCAGUCAUAUAGAAACUACAACACGCACACACGUGGCUCCGUGCGAGGUUUUGGGAUACACUUGUCGUGCGUGACCCAAACUGCGUGAUGUGGCUGGGGCCCGCCCGGGAGUCUAAAUCUGUGGGCACAAGGAAACGCAGAGGCCACGUCCAGCACCGCAGAAAUCCCGGCAUCAAUUGCAGAAAAUUAAAGCACGUGGGCAGAUCUGCGCGCGCAACACGUGGCCGUAUCCGAUCUCCAUUUUCUCGCGGUUGUUAAUUUGAUUCUUUGACUGCAACUUCUGUAUAUAAUAUAUGUGGUUGCAAAUAGAAGAUUUGCUCAAUCAGUACAUAAGUAUGAAUGUACUGAGCCUAUAUAUGUGCGGUCUUCGACGACUUGCCCGCCACACCACGUGGACUAUGCUUGCUGAUUCUUGAUAUGAUCCGAAAUCGCAAGAACCAUAUAUGCACGCACGCGCAUACAUCAUAUAUACUAUUAUUUAUUUAUAUAUGGUUGAUCUGUACGUAUCAUGUGCCCUGGGACACUUGGCAGUUCCAGAUUUUUACUGCAUGCCAAAGUAAGCAGACAAUUUAUUCCGCAACUUUGCUUUCUCCACGACUUUUCCAGCUCAAGAGAGUUGAAGAGUAAGAGCCGAAUUAAUCGUGCGCGGGGCCGCGGGCCAAUAAUAAAUAUAAAUAAAUAAAUAAAUAAAUAAAUAAAUAAAUAUAUAUAUAUAUAUAUAUAUAUAUAUAUAUAUAUAUAUAUAUAUAUUGUAGUAGAUCGAGGACGUCGUAUAUCAUGUAUACGUGUGGGGUUGGGACGAUAUCUAAUAAUUAUUUUUAAUUCCCUCCGAGCUCAAGAUUUUCGAUCCCCAACUCGAUCGCGCGGUACGUAGCUAGGGAUCGAGCUGGUGCUCCUUCAAGCCGCGCGCGCUCAGCUCACUUUGCCAGCUCAUUAAAAUUUUGCUAGUCCAACACGAUCAAGCUGCUCGUGUGACCGGGCUCGUUGUACCAAUUGUCUUGACGGCUAGGCGUCGUUAUGUAGUACAUUACUAAUUUCUUUUUUUAAAAAACUUAAAACGCACGUUAAUAAGAAAUGCGGAUAAAACUGAGUAACUAUAUAUGCUCAAGUAUGGAAUGUGCGGAAUGUCAUUUUGUAAUAAACAAUUAAUGCUAGUGCCCUAGCCAAAAAUUGGUUAUAAUUUUAUAACUCUAUCGUCCAAUUAAUAAUCCAUACUUUCUACUAUAGAGUCUUAUCAUCUUCUCUCUUUUGUUUAUUCUUAAAAAUCCAAAAAUAAUUUCUUAAAUCUGAACCAAGUAAGAUUACAAUACUUGGAUUAAGAAUUGCAGCACUAUUAGUUUACAACCCAGAAGGGUUUGUAGACUUAGCAUUUCUCUUUUAGAAUAUGAUAACACGAAAAAGAAAUAAACUAAAAGGGACGAAACAGUACCUGACAGACUUAAUAUAAAAACAAAAAUAUACAAUUUUCAUCAAAUUUUCUACACUGUUAGGCUUAACAAAGUCAAGCAUGAGUAAGUUAAAUUGUUAGAUGUUCGCAAAUUCUUGAACCACAAGAGUUUCGAAUCUAAUAUAUAUUGGUUAUUUUAUUUAGUUAAGUUAAAGUUAUUGUCAAUUUUAUUGAAUUUUAUUUUAAAUUUUAUUAAAGAUUUAACUAUUAAUAUAUAUAAAUAUUUCAUUUAUCUUGUACAUAAAAUAUGACAGAUGAGAGAGAGUAUGUGGUAUAUUUUAAGACUAAUUAAGGUAUUGUGAGAAAAGCAUCCUUUUGUAUCCCUUGGGUUGUAAUUAAAUUCUUUACUCGGCCUUCACCCGUGUAAUUAAGUACGUAGAUUAGUUGUCAAUCCAAGUAAAUUAUUAUUUGUGUAUUUUAUUUUUCUACUUUUUUUUUUAUUAUUUAUCAGUAAUCUCAUAUGUAGAUGCACUAGAUAUUUUCCGUAUUUGUCGUAACAUAAAUUAUAUCUAAUUAUGUUGUGGUUGCUUGUGGAUUUAGCGAGUGGAGCAAGUAAGCUUUUGUUGAUCCAUGUUUUUUGAGAGAUUGUUGAGCCAAGUUGAUCGAAGAUUGGCGCCGUUGAGCCAAGUUGACAAUUUAACGGCUGGGGGCGCGGGGUUAACUAAGUACAUAUAUAAAUCUGCAUCCUUCUUCAUAAGAAAUUAAGGGCAUGGAAAAUAUCCCUUGCUGAAAAAGAAAAUGGCGCCGAUCCAUCAGAGGCCGGGGUUGAUUAAUUGUUUGCUGGCAUUUCAGACAUCAAAAAAUCCACAAUGGUGGUAACACGUGGCCCAGCCCGGCCGCCGAAGACUAUCUAGGAAACUACCAAAAUCCAACCUUUGAUUCGGUAUCAGUUCUAGCUAGCUUCCGCCGCAGUAAUAAUAAUAAUAAUAAUAAUAAUAAUAAUAAUAAUAAUAAUAAUAAUAAUAAUAAUAAUAUAGCUUGAUUGUCAUGAGCGACCAGCUAAUCGAACUUAAUUUGACGGCAGAAUUUGUAGAGAGUUUACAUGCAGCUACAUCGAUCUGUACAGCAGCAGCCGGCUGCUAUAAUUCAAGAUGUUUAAUUAAUUUAUUGGUGGAUCGAUCGAUUGAUGUAUGCAUAUCCGUCACCAUAGGUUGAAGUUUUAUGUGCAUGGUUGGAACAAUUAAUAUUAACGCAGGCAUGCCGCGAAAUUUCAACCAAAAGUAGGAGCACCUACGUAUCUCGAUGGACACGUGGCUUAUUUGACUAACUAGCUAGCUAGGUGCGUUUGGCCGACCUUCAAUAUUCGGUGCUGCGGCUGGGGGAGGAGUUCCCCAGAGGAAUGACGCCGCCAUGCAUAUAUAUUAAUUCAUGUCUGCCGCUGUAAUUGCUUGAAUUGAGAGCUACAUAUAUUCGAAAAGGUUGCACUUGCACCCCGCCCAGGAGUGCAAGCACCACGUACGUACUCCGUCGGGAUCGAGAACUAUAUAUAUGUGCCAUUGACUAGAAACAUAGGAAUUGAACCACAAAUUAAUGUGGGGUCUAACACGCACCCAUUCCAUCCCUUAGGAAGCAAGCAUGCAUGGGCCCAUCUAUAUACAAUAUAUAUAUAUAUACACGUACGUUCGUUCGUUCAUACGUUGCAUCUUCAUCCCAUGGCUCCGAAGCUAUCCAGCUGUCGAUCGGUUGUCCCUUUAGAUCUAAUAAUUAGGACGUCGGUUGCUGCACGGAACGUCGCAAGGCCAUUUACAUGCAUGAUACACAGAUUCUGUACGUAACUCGACUUGCAUGUUCAUGUAUAAGUAGCCGAGCGGUCAAAAUAAGUGCAUUUCGUAUAUUUGACAAUUAGGACCCCUACAUAUAGCACGUCUGUACAUUCUAACAGCCUAGCUAACAGGCUAAUCGCUGAUACGUUAAUACCAGCUGCAAGCUGUUCGAUCGAUCUGCUGACUAAUUUAUUGGACGUACAAUUAAGCCCUGAUCGACAUGGACAUUCAUUCAUUCAUUCAUUCAUUACCCUCGCUAGAUUAAUUGGUGAAAAUUCUACAAGCAAUAUUCCAGCAUAUAUAUAGUUAUGAUAAAUACUGACGCUUACAAUUCAAAAGGACAUGAAAUUAAUCUUAUAAGCCACCAUCUUAAUGUUAAACAACAGUGAUAUAAUUAGUGUAGAGAAAUUAAUUAGCCUUUAAAUGAUAAACCUGAAGAAUUGCAAUCCAAAAAGAAUUAUAGAGGUAGCGUUGCCUUCUAGUUAUUGCUGGUAGGUAGGAGCAAGCUUAGCUAGCUAACUAGUUAUCAAAUUGGAAACCCAAGAAAACUAAUAAAUGUUGUCUUUUGAAUUCAAAUGAAGUGUGAUCAAAUCCACAGUAUGUUGAAGUUCAGAAAUGAAGGUUCUCGUUUUUUUUUUCGGUGCAUAAAAUUAAUUUGAAAAGAGAGAAUUGGCACUUAACCAUUUGUGACAAAUUCUUUUAGCAUUAUUUCAUUACGAUAAUUGCUAUCCUUUAUGAGCAUAAAUAUUAAAAAUACGUACCAUUAUCUGAAAGUUUUAUUUCACAUAAUUUAAUAUCCUCCUAAAAAAUUAUCGCAAAUAUCCAAAAAAAAAAAAAAAAACUUCAUAUCAACACAGCAACACAAUUAAUGAGUUGUAAAAUCAAAUAAUGGGCACAUUACCUCUCUUUUGAAAAUUUCUCUUACUUAUUAGUUGUUUCGAAUAAUUAAAUAUCCUACUGCAGCCUUUCCUUUCAUACAGUCCUUAUUUCUUUUUAUAAAACUAUAAAAAAAAAAUGAUUCUACUAAUGAUUAUUUUUACCGACCGUCCCUAGAGUAAAUGGCAAAAGGCUUGGUGGUUGGUAUCCGAGGUUUCAAGUUCAAAUCCUAGUUGAUUCACAUUUCUGGCUAAGUUUAUUUCUAAUUGAAAUAAACGAAGCGGGUAGCGUGCUUUCUAUCUCUAAAAAAAAAAACUAAUGAUUAUCUCUCUGUCCGAAUUUAAUAGAUUUAGGUGAACGGCACACUAACUAUAUAUUAAAGAUUCCAAUCUAAUCUUAUAUCUCACUUUCUGUUUCCAUCAACAUCCCUGCUAUCAAUACGAAAGUAUGGUUCAACGAGCGAGUUAUGAGUUUGAAUUCAAAGUGACAUCUCAUAAAUUGAAUGAAACUUACGAAAUAGUUUGUUGGUGUACUAUUAGUCGCCUAAACCAUCGUUUUGGCUUGCAAGAACAAGUUUACACUAACAAUCUUACAUGCCUAUUUAUAACUUGUUGGACAACAUAAAAUCUGCUGCAUGUUCGAUAUAUAGUUUACUUUUUAAAAAAAAAAAAGAAAAAACUAAACUAAAGCUAUAAUAGAUAGAAUCAUUUCUUAUUUUAUCGAAUAUAAUCCUACUAAUUUUAACGUUGAAGACCGAUAGAAGGAAUUGUCAAAUUAAAAUAGUCCUCCAAUAGAAGGAAUUGUCAAAUUAAAAUAGUCCUCCAAUAGAAGGAAUUGUAAAAAUUGUCCUCCAUGCGUAUCUAGCAGAAACGACAAAAACAACUUUUGCGACAGUGUUGAGCUGGAGAUGAGAUUCCGCUCCCUCCACCCCACCACCGCUUCAUAUAUAUAUAUAUAUAUAUAUAUAUAUAUAUAUAUAUAGGGAGAGAGAAAGAGAUAUUACCCAUCGAAUCGAUCACAAAUAUAAGAUUAAUCGUUUCUCCCGCUGUCAUAGAUCGAUAUAUACAAACUUCUCCAUCUCAUUCCCAAAACUAUUAACCGCCGCCACUCCCUCUCAAUUCGAUAAGGGAGUAGCUGGCGGUGGUGAUUAACAAGAGCAGGCCCGACGAUAUAUAUGAAGUCGGGCAUUAAUCCCGCGAUCAUCAUGUCUUUGCCUCUCUUACCACUAGCAUCCGUCCUCCUCCUCCUAUGCCUUAUUGUCUGCAUCCUACUCAAAGCUUUGUCCUCGUCGACUGCUGCUGCUGCUAAUAAUGAUAAGAAGCUGCCUCUGCCUCCGGGAUCCAUGGGAUGGCCCUAUAUCGGAGAGACCUUCCACCUCUACACCUCCAGAAACCCAAACAUCUUCUUCGCCCUCAAACAGAAAAGGUGCGGAUUAAUUCCUAUACAUACAUACAUACAUACAUACAUCAGUUUUCCAACUUAAUUACAAAUGGCAGUAUGCAAUCAAGACGACAAAAUCUAGGUCUUGACUAUAUUAAGUCAUUAAAUAAUUAAUUAGAGAUUAAUUAUUAAUCACUCGAUCGAGCACAUUUAUCAUAACUAAAUUUGCUGUUGAUCAUUGCGGUGUUAAUUACUUCAAAACUAAAUACAAGUUAACGUACAUGUAUAUGCAGGUAUGGGUCUAUCUUCAAGACGCACAUACUGGGUUGCCCGUGCGUGAUGGUGGCGAGCCCGGAGGCUGCGAGGUUCGUGCUGGUGACGCACGCCCACCUCUUCAAACCCACGUAUCCAGCCAGCAAGGAGCGCAUGCUGGGUCCCCAGGCCAUCUUCUUCCAGCAGGGCCGCUACCAUGCACUCCUCCGUCGCCUCGUCCUCCGCGCUGUCAUGCCCGACGCCAUUCGGGACUCCGUCGCCGCCAUCGAGGCAGUCGCCACUCGCACCCUUGCCUCGUGGGAGGGCGGCCGCAUCGUCAACACGUUCCAAGAGAUGAAGACGGUAAGUGCGUGCCUGCUUCCAAACGUCCCGCCCAUUUUCGAACAGCAGUACUGAAAUCCAUCCUAGCUAGCUCACCAGCGAGCUAGCCAGCCAGCCAGCCAGCCAGCCAAAAUUAAUAAAUAAAAGAUAUUGCUGCUCCGGCACUCAUGCUUUCCCUGACAUAUAUCGUUUUGUCUCUGGUUGGAAUUUAAUUGCAGUACGCAUUUAACGUGGCACUGCUCUCCAUCUUCGGAAAGGAAGAGAUUUGCUACAUAGAGGAGAUGAAACGGUGCUACUACGCUCUGGAGAAAGGAUAUAACUCCAUGCCCGUCAACCUGCCGGGAAGUCCCUUCAGCAAGGCAAUGAAGGCGAGGAAGCGGCUGGCUGAUAUCGUGGCCAACAUUAUCUCAUCCAGGAGGAGGAGGAGGAGUAGGACGCGGACGCAGGGGAUCGGAGCAGCAGAGCAUCUCGAGGGCAGCUGCGACUUGCUUGCUUCUUUCAUGGAGACCAACGAAGCACUCACUGAUGCCCAGAUCGUGGACAACAUCGUGGGGGUCAUCUUUGCUGCAAGGGACACCACCGCAAGUGUGCUCACCUGGAUCGUCAAGUUCCUCGCAGAGAAUCCGACCGUCCUCAAUGCUGUAACAGUACGUCCAUAACAUCAACAGCAACAGCAACAUUAAUUAUAACCCGGCCGCGGUGCUGCUGCUCAUUAUUAGGUGCAGGCCCGUGCCGAGGGAGAUCCUUCCCUGGCCCUGCGCAUAUAUAUAUAUAUAUAUAUAUAUAUAUAUAUAACUGCAAAUCAAUUAAGAAACUGCAUGUGUCCCAUUAAUUAUUACGCUUUCUAAUAAUCUGUCUUCCAGCUGCAUGAAUUAAUUGAUGGUAUAUAUUCCUUUCAGAUUCAUUCCGAGAUCUGACUGUAUACAAAUUAAAGAGAUUGAUUAAUUAAUUAAAUUAUAAAUAUAUAUUUAUAUAUAGGAGGAGCAAGAGGACAUCAUGAAGAGUAGAGGUGAAGCGAAAGAGGGGGAAAAGUGCCUAACAUGGGGCGAUACCAGGAGGAUGCCGAUGACCUCUAGGGUGAUUCAGGAGACAAUGAGAGUUGCUUCCAUCCUAUCUUUCACCUUCAGAGAAGCCGUCGAGGAUGUGGAGUUUGAAGGUCCGUACAUAUAAUAUACACGUACCUAGUACAUAUAUAUAUAUAUAUAUAUAUAUAUAGGUGACGGCCGAACGCUUUCUGUUCAGACAACUACAUAUUUCUCACACACAUACAUAUAUCUACAUGAAUGUUAGAACUUAGAAUUGCGCAGCAAAUGUGUCCGAAAAUGUAAAGAUCAGAUGCUACAGGCGUACAUACGUGCAUGCUUGCCUUUUCUUUUCUUUUUUUUCACGCUUACUGAUCAAGUCUAGAUCUUUGCCGCUUUGGUGUACAUACGCAAAAACCAACAGGAUAUCUCAUACCAAAAGGAUGGAAGGUGAUGCCACUAUUCAGAAACAUCCAUCACAGCCCCGACAACUUUCCUGACCCGGAAAAGUUCGAUCCUUCCAGAUUCGAGGUGCGCGAAUACCAUAUAUAGUCAGUCGAAAGUAAAUUAAGAUUGAAUAUUAAUACUGCAUUAUAUAUAUUCUCUAAAUACAAUUAGCUUAUGCAUAUAUAUUCCAUGCACGCAACGGCGCAGGCUGCUCCCAAAGCCCAUACGUUCAUGCCGUUCGGGAAUGGGACGCACUCCUGCCCCGGAAACGAGUUGGCCAAGUUGGAGAUGCUGGUGCUGCUUCACCACCUCACCACCAAAUACACCUGCUCGAUAUUCGGAUCCGAUGCCGGAACACAGUUUGGACCUUUUGUUUUGCCGUUCAACGGGUUACCCAUGACAGUCUCUCGCAAGUGCUCUUGAACGAUUGAAGUCAGCCCACGUCAUAAUAUAUAAAUAUUAUUUACUAAUAAAUCUUUUAUCUUUGGAUUGUUACUGUUGUACCCAUCUCACUAAAUCUUAAAUAUUUAAUGGUCAAAAAGUCGUUGAGAAUAAAUAUUAUUUUUAAACUAUCAAUAACAUUCCGAAUGAAUUUUAUAGAGUUGAUCUAGGAUAAUUUUACAAGUAUCAUCCCCAUGUUGCUAUCACGUUUUUAGCCAUUGGAUCUACUUUUUGAUUAAAAAUAGCCCUUGGAUCAAACACUAUUCCACCUACCACCACCUACCACCAUCAUUUCAACCUCACAUCUCUCCAUCCAAGGGCUAAAAACACACACGUAUCACUUGGGUGAUACUUGUAAAAGUAUUCUAGCCCUACUCGAAUUUUAUAUAUAUAUAUAUAUAUAGAGAGAGAGAGAGAGAGAGAGAUAGUCUUCUAUACUAUCUAUAGUACCGAGACUUCGGUACUAUAGUCUCGUUUUCGAUUUUAGGGUAUUCAAAUCAACGAUCCACACCGUUAAAAUUUAUUUAAGGUAUUUAAAGUCUUUAGAAAUAAAAUUUUAUAUUUUUUCGACAUAGUUUACUUUAUGAUCAAACCAUUUCAAAAUUGUCAAUUUUCAAUGGCUACUAUGGCGAGUUUGAAGUUCAACGGUGUAGAAGAAUCUAAAUUUCUUUAAAUUUUGGUAGAAAAUAUUUUAAACUAUCUAGAUUAAGGUUAACAUUCUUGAUCUUGAAUUUAAAAGUCCUAUGCUCAAAUUUUAAAGAUUAUUUAAUUUUCACCGCUCAUUUUGACAUAAUUUAUUUACUAAGUAAACGAUGUCGAAAAAAAUUAAAAUUUUAUUUCUAAAAAUUUCAUAUACCCUAGAUCAUAUUUAACGGUGUGGAUCGUUAAUUUGAAUACCCUAAGAUUGAAACAAAACUAUAGCACCGGAGCUCCAGUACUAUAAAUAGUACAGUAACCUAAUUCUAUAUAUAUAUAUAUAUUGCAACAAUAAUUCAAAUUUAAUUAAAAUAUAGUUAGAAAUAAGUUUAUGUCUUUUAUUUGAUUAUGAUUAGAAUUUGUAAUUAUCAAACGUGAAAAUCAGAUUUAUUAUCUGUUAUGACUUAAUAGCUAUAUAUAGUAUGGGUGUGACUCAGGAUGUAAUUAAAUACUUUUUAUUAAUAAAAUUUUUAAUUUAAUAUAUACUAUUCUUUUUCUAACAAUUGGUAUCAAAACAAAUCAUACUUCCAACAACACACACACACGCAAUAAAUGCAGAAAGAAUAAACACAAAUAAAAACUUACAUUAAAAUUGUCAAAGAAUAUUCUAAUUAGUAUCAAAUUUUCCUCUAAAAAUAUUAAUUCUUCACAAGUAAUAUAUAUAUAUAUAUUAUAUAUUAUAUAGAGAGAGAGAGAAGAGAGAGAGAGAGCAGGGCAGGGCUGCUAUGCUCUCAGAGCACGGAGGCUCCGUGCUCCUGAGCCGUUUUCGAUGAUGAAUUUUCGAAUCGACGAUCGGCUCCGUUAGAUUGAUCUAGCGCAUUUGAAGUUUCUAGAAAAUAAUUUUGCGAUUUUUGAUAUCAUUACCUAGUGAUCGAAAGAUUCAAAAUCCAUAAUUUUUAAUGGUUGAUAUCUGCCGUUUUCAAGUUUAACGGUGUAGAAUAUUCAAAUCAGAUGAAAUUUGAUAGAAAAUUCUUUAUACUAUCUACAACAAGAUUAUAUUUCUAAUCGAAAAUUUUAGUGAUAUAUCACCACUUUUUAUAGGAUUUUUAUUUUCACACGUUAAAAAUUAUUGAUUUUGAAUCCUUUCGAUUGACUAGUCGAUUGCUAGGUAAAUGAUAUCGAAAAAUCGCAAAAAUUAUUUUCUAGAAACUUUAAAUACGCUAGAUCAAGUUUAACGGAGCUGAUCGUCGAUUCGAAAGCUCCAUCAUCGAAAACGGCUCAGGAGCACGUACGGAGGCCUCCGUGCUCCUGAGUCGUUUUCGAUGAUGAAAUUUUCGAAUCGAUGAUCGGCUCCAUUAGACUUGAUCUAGGGUAUUCAAAGUUUCUAGAAAAUAAUUUUUGCGAUUUUGUGAUAUCAUUUAUCUAAUGAUCGAAAGGAUUCAAAAUCAAUAAUUUUUAAUGGUUGAUAUAUGUCGUUUUCAAGUUUAACGGUAUAGAAGUAUUUAAAUAAGAUGAAAUUUUGAUACAAAAUUCUUUAUACUAUCUACAACAAAAUCAAUAUUUCUGAUCGAAAAUUUUAAUGCUAUAUCACCACUUUUUAUCGAAUUUUUAUUUUCAACCGUUAAAACUUAUUGAUUUUGAAUCAUUUCGAUUGCUAGGUAUCAAAUAAAUUGAGAAAGAAUAAACACAAAUAAAAACUUCCAUUAAAAUUGUCAAAGAAUAUUCUAAUUAGUAUCAAAUUUUCCUCUGAAAUUAUUAAUUCUCAAUUAUAUAGGAUAAAUAUGGAUCGUCAAAUAUUUAGAACAAUGAUGAUUUAUACGUAUCAAGUGAAAUAACGGAGGAUACAAUAUGCAUGCAACGAGAAGUCUAGCUGCUACACCACAUUUUCUAUAUCCAGCCGAUCACAUUUUUAUUUUUGAGAGAAAAAUACAGUAAAAUAUUUUUUCUAAAAAUCAUAAUAAAAUAAAUAAAUUUUUAAAAAAUAAUUUGAUUGAUUGGCCACAUCAGCAAUAUAAAUGCUACAUUCUAGACUUAGGGCGCGUUUGGUUCGAAGUUGAAAUCGAAAUCAGAAUCGGAAUCGAAAUAAGCUGGAAUUGAAAUUGGAAUGACUCAUUGCCUAAUUCUAUUUGGUUCGUUACCUGAAUUGGAAUCGGAAUAAAUCAUUUCCGUUGUCAGUGUUUGGUUUAAGUAGAUAUAAAAAGCGUAAUCAAAUUAAUAUACUAACUUUAUCUUUAUAAUAUAUUAAUUUAAAUUCAAAUUAAAUAUUAAAUAUUAAAAAUUUAGAUGUUGAGCGGAUAAUUCAAAAUAUAAAACUAAAUUUCGAUUUAUUCAAAUUCAAAUUUAAAAUUACAAUUUAAAUUUAAUCUGAAUCCAUAAAUUUAAUUUAAGUUUUAAAUAAAAUUUGAAUAAAAUUUUAUUUAAAUUAAAAUUUAAUUUAAAUUCAAAUUUAUAAGUUAGAUUCAAAAUACCUGAUUAAAUUUUAAUUUGUAAUUCAAAUUCAAAUUAAAAUUUAAAAUUAUAAAUUUAAUUUCUAAGUUUAAACUUAAAUUUUAAUUAAAAAAAUUUAAAAAAUAAAUUUAAUCCGAAUAAAUAUCUAUUUCGUCCGGAUUCAACUUUCAAUCCGACCUCUCAGGCCGGAUUAGGAUGGGAAAAGGAGGUGAUUGGAGGAUUCUUAUUCCACUCGGAAAUUAGAAUCGGGAGAUUGGAAAAAGAGGUGAGAGGCUGGAUUGGUAAAGAGGUGAUUGGGAGAUUUCCAUUCCACUCGGGAAUCGGAAUCGAAAAAUUGGAAAAAGAUGUGAUUGAGGGAUUUCCAUUUCACUCGAGAAUCGGAAUCGGAAUGGGACUUACGCAUACCAAACACCUACAAACGAAUUCACUCAUUUCGAUUCCGAUUUCAGGAUGAAAAAGAAGUGAACCAAAUACGCCCUUAGACUUUUUUGCAGUCUUUUUAGACUUAUUUCCCACCCACAAAGGCCGCCUCAGUACGUUCGAUCUCAGUUCGUUCGAUUCGCGGAGGAGAAAAAGACGUACCGGCCGGAUGCAUGGCAGCGAGAUGGAUGCAUGAAUGAACUAUAUAUUAUUUUUAUAGACGUGCUAAUGUACAUGAUCGCCUAUGCAGAUUCAAUUGUGAAGACAAAUAAUCACAACUCGUGCGGAAUAUCGAUCCUGUACAGAUUUUUCGUUUUAGCUCUUGGGAGAGAAAGCUCAACGAUAAGUGUUCAAACGAUGAAGAAAUUAUUUACCCCAUUGAGCAGUUUAAAUGUUUCUCCGCAUCUCCAUAUCUCUUUUCUUUUCCCCUUUUUUUUCCUCUGAAUUUGUUCCUAGAUCUUUCAUAUGCAUACCCGAAUCGCAAGACUCAGAUUCCCUGUUCUCAUGAGAAACGGCCUUCUACAGAACUCGGAAGCUUUACACCUUAAAAAAUGCAUGUCAUGCAUUUUCCUACAACAACAGCGGUAAAACUGGUAGUAUAAAAAGUUAUACGGUGCAGCCGUGACACCAGAUUCUUUAUCACAUUAUUACAAGGCGUUACAUAGCCAAAGCAAUUCAAGCCACUUGUGACAAAGCUUCACACUUUGAUGUCUCUGCUUCAUAAUUGAUCUCAUUUGGCACACCACAUUAGCCAGCAUCUACAAAGUAGAGAAUGCUGCUUCUCAAGAUCGACCCAGUUUUUGCGAAACUAAUAGUUGCAUCAUUCAUUAGUCCAAGAAUCUUACCAAGAUCAACACAAAUCAAGUCUGGGUCACUGCUCCAGAUAAAAGCAGAAAAGCCCCUUGUAGACCAAGUUCCAGUGCUGAACCAUCUCGGUCUUAUCCCCACUUACACUAUGGGAAAAACACAUCACUCAAUUGGCCAAGGCCAGCAAUUCUUAUAGUCUUCAAACUAACAGAAAAUCAGCAAUUUAUCAUCUUAAACUAUUCCUCUUUCUUUGCAAAAAAACGCUUGAUUUUGGAUCUAGAAAAAAAACGAGCAGUUAAGCCGGGUGAGCCCACCUUACAAACUCGGAUGGCUUUGCUCUCUUCGCAAAUAAGGAAACACUUUAUCUUCUCUUCUUUUUUCACCUUCAUGUCCAAAUGAGAGAAAAAAAAAAAAAAAAAAAAAAAAAGUUUUCUUUUUUCUUUCUUCUUCUCUCUCUCAACUAUCCAAGUAACCCUCAAAAGCAAUUUAAUCUCAUUUUCCCUCCACACAAUGUCCUUAUAACCACAAAAGGUCCACAAUCAAGUCAAAGUUUGUUUAUAACCCUCAGCAACUAAUGUUUAAUGUAUCAAUGUAGUAGAGCGAUAGAAAAAGUUUCAGAAAGAAAAAUGGAAGUGAAUAAAAUGCCAAUAAGAUGCAAAUCAUUUGGAUGUGAAUAAAAUCCAGUAGAAAUAUUUUAAAGGAAACAAAAUAUAAGAUUGCUAACAAACUGAAAGUUUUUCAAGUUGAUCUUAGUAAGGACAUAAAGCAUACAAUUCAAAGUGCUCUGGCAAUUUGUUACAGAAUAUAUAAAUAACAAAAGUAUGAAACGAAGGGAGCUUCGAAACAGAACAAGAAACUAUUACCCAGGAUGUAGUUGCAUUCCUACUACAUGGAACAAAUUAAUUAUCAGCAGCAGCUUCAGCAGGUGUUUUGGUGGUCAUCUGGUCAACAGCAUGCACCGUGCUCUGAAGCUCUUCCCAUAUAGCUUUGUAGACCAUUCUCUGCCUGUUUACUGCAGAUUGUCCCUCAAAAGCUUUUGAAACUACGUCAAUGCUACAUCACAACCACGAAACUGAAUGUAAGCAUCAUUGCCAAAUUUCAGUCACAAAGGUUAGACAUUAAAUAAAAACAUAUGCUAUUAUAGAAGAAACACCUAUGAACCAAUUGGAAGCAAGUUCUGACAUUUAACUAAGAAGAUUGCAGCAUACAUAUGAAAAGUACUUGUACAGGAAUAUGUGAAAGAAAGACGUGAUAUAUUCAUAUCCGCCACUAAUUAUUACUUGUCUCCAACAUGCUCUGAACAAGAAGAAACUGUAGAAUGGUAAUGUGAGCAUCAGUCUCCAUGUAAGAAAGUAUGGUUAAUUUCUAAUCAUUAAGAAGAAGAAAACAUAAAGUUAGUAUCGAACUGAAAGUCUGUCAAAUGCAGAGACUCACUUAGAACGGUGAUGUAGAGCAGAAUUACCACCAUUCUGUUAGAAUAAACAAUAAGAAAACAGAGUUCUGAUGUUCAAUUGCUUGAAUAAUAUAGUCUUGCAUAAGCUCACAGAUACAGAGGCACGUAAAAGCAUCUUACAAUAUCCUAAUUAAACAUAUUGUGCCACAAGAAGUGAACAUAUGUUUAUGAACUGUAGACAACAUCAUACCCAUGAAGUUCUUAUAUUUUUUGCUAGUUGAGUUACAUAAGUCAGCUUAAAAUAUUAGAAAGAAGACCGAAAUGCAGAUCUUUUGUAUUUGAUAUCAAGGAAGCAAACAGACCUGACAUGUCGACCAUCACCAUAAGCAUCCUUGACAAUAACAACAUCAGCUUCCAAUUGCUCCUUGAUCUGCCAAAACCAGAAGAAAAUCAGUACUUACCCAAAAAAAGAGAGAUUUUUAAAGCAAAUAUUAGAUUAUCGAUGAUUUAAAAAUUAAAGAAUCACCAGCCAUACCAAGAUGAUGAUGAUGAUGAUGAUGUAGAUGUAGUGUUAUAGAACGUCCAAAAACGCCAAUCUAAAUGAGAUAUAGAAAGAGGAAAAAGGAGUGUCUCCAUUAACUACACGUGAUAGACUUAGGGCUUGUUUGGUUCAUCCAUUUUGGGUAUGGAAUGGGAAUCCGUUUAAUCAAAUCCGGUUAAUUUUGUUUGGCUCGCAUGAAUCGGUUUGGGAUUCCUAUUCCGGACUGGAAUGGGAAUGGCCUAUUAGCCUUCAACUUGAUUCCGGUCUUCUAGCCCGGAUUGAGAUUUCAUUCCGGAAGCCCACUAAGUUCUCGAAGCCCAUGUGACCAUCUCACCCUCCUUCUCUUCACCCCUUUCUCAUCAAAAAAAAAAAAUAAAAAAAUAAAAAAUUAUCCUCUCUCAAAACCCUAUCCCUAACCCACAUCAAUAAAAGUUUUUAAAAAUAAAUUUGAUAUUUUUUUUGGAAAACUUAUUAGAGAAUAGUAUUAUAUUUUUCAUAAAUUUUAAAUAAUAUAAAUUUAUAUUUGAGAGUAAAAUUAGUAUUAUAGUAUCCUAUAAUUUUUUUAGUUUAUACGAACCAAACAAUAAAAUGUGAAUAACUCAUUCCAAUUCCCAAUCCACAAAUAAACCAAACGUCUUGGGGGAGUGGGCCAUUCCAAUUACCAUUCCAAUUCAUUUCCAUUCCAUUAUCCAUUCCAAUUCCACCCUUGAACCGAACAAGCCCUUAGAGAGACUAAUGAUUACUCAAACACACAACUACAGUGAGUUAAUAUGGUGCGUGGUAAGCUAAAACGGGGCACUACUUUAAUCAUGUUUAAAGCAUCAUCAGAUUUUUAUUCACUAUAAGUAACAGCAAGCAAACAGAUUUCUAAACUAUGCCAUUACCUCAAUAUUUAACAGCAUGCCACCAGGUUCCUAGAUUAUGGGAAAUGCUUGUGUUCAGAAAUAUAUUUUAAGAUGGAAGGAAAUUUGAUUUGUAUUUUUUGUAUUUGCAUAUUCUAGUUGUGAGGGCUUAAUCCUAUCUUCUCUAUGGAGUAGUGCCACAUUCUUAUAUUAAUGUUUUACAAAGUUCUUCCUUACUGUCAACUUUCAACCAAAAAAUACAUAGGAUCUUGAAAUUUGAGCCCCUACACAUAAGGGCCCUCUCUUCUGUCCUACUCUAGAUUUAGUACUCCGAAUAUGCUCAUUUCUCUUUGUUUUCAACCUUUUUUCUGAAUUUUUCUUUGUCCCACCUCUUCAUUGCCUUUUCUUUUCCAAUUUUUCCACCAUAUUGAUGAAUACAGACAAGCAGCAACUAGGAAACCCAUCUAACUUCUACUAGCAAACUGCCCCGACCAACUCCGAAGUCCAAACCUCUAUCUAUGGAGUCAAACAAAGGGCCAUCAGAGAAUAUAGACAUUAAUUGGUCGAAGCAUGUCCCCUAUAGACAUAAAAGUCUUAACUGGUUAGAUCAAAACAAAUUAGGCUCGAUCUCAUGUUGAUGAAUAUAUGCACGAUUUAGGUGAAGAUUAGGAUUUUUUUAGAAUAAGGUCAUAGGUCAUAAAGGAAAUAAGCUUUCUCUUAAAAGUCCCAUUUUUAAUCUGAGAUAUAUUUGGAAUUAGUUCAUAAUAAACAUCAUCUUAAAGUCCCAUUUUCCCAAAAAAGUCCAAAACCUUUCAAAUGCAAAACAAUUGUCACCCUCAGAGUUUACACUUUACAGUUGUGUAGACGCAUCAAAGAUUACGAUUAGCCCUAAAUGACUCCAUUAAAAAACGAAGCAACGAUCUAGCUCCAUUCAUAAACAAGAGAAGCCUUUCUCAACAUAUUAACAGGCCUUCAAACGACUAUCCAUCCCACAUCCCUACCAAGUGUUUGAAUUUUCCGAGAAGGGAUCGAGAGAAAAGGAAAAGACCAUGACAUUUUGAAGCAGAUUUCAGAAAGUUAACAUGACAUCGUGACACACCGUACAAGUGGUUACCCAGAAGAAUAUAAAACCAGCUACUACAGUCAUCUAAUUUUCAAGCUUUUACAAUCCCAUAGAUUCUGCAAUCAAAUGGCUAUUGAACUAUCUUCAUUAGCGUUGAUCAGUAUAGUUCUUCUGACAAAGUAGAAAUUCGGUCAGAUUGAGGAUCCUAACGGAUACUUAGUAGAGGACCAAUUUUAUCAGGUGAAUGAAGACGAGCAAAAGGGGAUAGAAGAGAGAGAGAGAGAGAGAGAGAGAGAGAGAGAGAGAGAGACCUUAUUCUCCAUGGCCUGCAUCAUGGGGGAGUUGAUGGAGCCCGAGUCGGAGACUUGCGUGGCCCUUACGCUGCAGAGGCGCCUCACCAGAAAGGGAGGGGGAGAUGGGAGAAGAACCCUCCUCCCUCGAAACGAGGAGGAGGAGAAGGAGGACGAGGAGGAGGAGGAAGGGGAUGCUGCUAAUCUUAGGGAAGGAGCAGCAGCAGCAGCAGAAGAGGAUUGUCUGGCGGGGUAGAGGUGAAAGAGAGAGGCCAGCGGAUAAUAAUAAGAGGAGGAGGACGAGAAAAAUGAGUACGAGGAUGGCCUCAUCGCCAGCGCUGCCGGAGCUCUCAUCCGCCCCCGCCCUCGCCCGUUCGAUCUGCCUCUCGGCUAUGGCCUAUUGGCGACGACGACUGCUUGCUGGCUUGCUGCUGGUACUCCCGCAAAUCCCGAGGAGGAAAAUGAGGGAGCGGACGGGCUCGAUCCCAGUUCCCAGCAAAACUGAUGCGAUCGGGGUUGGAUUAGGCUAGAGUCGGAGUCGUUGGGCCCUUUCAAAAUCGAUCGGGCCGGAUUUCUCCCCCGCCCCCCCCACCCGUUUAGCUCUCACCAUUCAGUCAUUCACCAACUCAUCAACUUCAUCCGCCACCACGCUGUCAAUUUAGCCCAUCAGUUCGAGACCUAUAAAAUCACCCAGCUGUUUAAUAAAUUAGAGAUCCGAGAUUGAUUCAAAGCGGCCAGGUCGGGUCGAUCGGAUUGAGCCUGUAGUUUCGGAUGAACUUUGCCACCCCUAACUGAGUCUGAGGGGUGUAUAUAUUUUAUAUUAUUUUAUUAUAUUAUUAUUAUAUCCAUUAAAACUAAUGGUUUUGUUAACCACUAACAGUUAGGAAAUAUCAUCGGCCGAAUAAAAAUUGAACCAAAUUAUCAUUGGUUUUCGACAAAGUUUUUAGUCUAACUGACAAACUUAAUUUAGCUAAAAAUUAAAAAUUGUAAAAAAUCACUAAAAGAACCUCUUUUAAGUCUUAGGGCCUUGAACAAAAGACAAACCAAAAAAAAAAAAACAAAAAACAAAAAACAAAAAGGCCUCCGCAAAGAUUAUCCUGUUAGAAGAACACCUAUUACGCUGUCGUGCGGAUCAAAGCCAUGGCUGCAAAGCACGCGAUUACUGUUGCUGUACGUAUCCAAAGUUAGCAGCGAAACAAUAUGUAGAUCCUGAAAAAAAAAAAAAAAAAGAACAGAAGUGAAAAAUGUAUACAAACUGGGCCUGAACUAUAUAUGCAGCAGCCAUGCUUGCAUUUUCUGCAGAUUCCUGAACUUCACAAAUUUGAAUUUUACUAUAUAUACAUGUAUUUUAUAAUAUAUUAUAAAUUAAACUUCAAACCAAAUUUAAGUCUUUCUAACUAUCUUGACGGAAUAUUUUGUAAUUGAUUAAUACAAUGCUGCACUACUUGAUGAAAUCUUCCACAAGUUCUUUGAUAGAAACAGACAUGUACGUCUAGUCAAAUUUGUUAAAGUUUUCUACACAAUUUUAAAAAUCAAAAUCGAUGUAAUGUUCAAUUGCGAAAUUUAUAUUUUUUAGAAUUCAGAUGUCCGUCUAAAAAUAUGGACUAGCUCAGAUAACACCUUUAUUUUUUUUUCUGAUAAAAAAACUGGUGGAUAUGCAAGAUAUAGGACAGUAUAUUGUACAUUUGUAGCACCAGUCAUCAAAUAUAUAGCACCACAUUUGGAAGUUCAAAAUAAGGUCGAGUGCUAUCAAGCAAGUGGUUAAUACCUCGGUUAUUCUAUAGGAUGCAUCAACCUCAAAAAUUUCGUUCUUAAGCAAGAAUUAAACAUAAUUAAGCUAGAAUUAAAUCACAAUUACGCAUAGGAAGUGAAUGUCUGAAUCAAGUACAACCUGUAUAUAUUCUUCGUGGUUGUCUUUCUCAUUCAUGAGACAUGCGUAUAUAUGGUUGCAAAUAAGUCUGGAUAAGUACAAAGUCUAUUCCUUUAAUUUCCUUGUGGUUGUCUUUCUCAUGCGUUCAUGCCAAACGCGAGGGCAGGCACUCUUUUAUGCUGGCUGUCGUGAGCGGCAUUAUUGGCAGGGUCUUGCAUUAUUACCGGAUUAUACCUUGUUGCUUGCCCCCUGGUCACUUCAGAGAACAAAUAUAUUCUUUGGACCCUACAUAGGUAUAUUUUGUGCGUUGAAUUGGACGCGUACUGAUAUUGAGCCAUGCAUAUAUAUAUAUGUGAUCUGCGAUAGACGUAAAGAAAAUUAAUACGCGAGCAUAGCAAGUUAUAGUGACAUUUUUGGCAGGCAAGGAGAUGAAUUGAUUGAGAAGAUUUUUUGGUUUACAAUAACAGAAUAGCUAGCCACCAGUCUUUUUCGCUGAGCCGUAGGAAUAUGUGCUACUACAUUACUGUCAGCUGUUUGUUUUCUCCACUAUCCAACUUUAAGCACUGCUGGCUGGCCCUUCCCAGCAGGAGGCUAUAAAUCAGCAGCAGCCUCCGAAUGAAUGUUGUGUGCUAAUUAUAAUUUAGCGAAGCCAGCUGAUCGAGCUAAUUAUUAACUCUCCGAGAGAUCGGAGAGAGAGAGAGAGAGAGAGAGAGAGAGAGAGAGAGAGAGCUCGGUCGACUAGUUCAGAUUAACUGAUCCAAUUUACUUAAUUAAGUAAUGGCGUCGAUGAAGGCCAAUAAACCUCAAGUCCAGUCUUCACAAGCGCAGGCAACAAAGGCGCCACCGCCCCAAGUUAAAGCUGCGGCAGCAAAGCCCACUCACAAGAAGGUGGUGCAGAAGCCACAGGAGACAAAGGUGCUACGUACCUCCUCCUCAUUUAUUAGCUAAUUUAAUUAUUACAGCACUCAAAUCUUUAAUUGUGUGCAUGCAUGAAACAAAUUCAUAAUUAUUUUUCUAUUUUCUCAAGGCAGAGACACAUAUAUAUUAAACUUGUCUGCAGAUUGCAUGUAUGAUUGAUUAGUUAUGAUGCAGGUUUCAAGUGUUAAACCUGCAGCUCCACAUGCUAAAUGAGAUUCGUCUCGCCAGCACCGAAGUUGAUGACUUCUUACUAUAUAUAUAUAUAUGUGUGUGUGUACAUGGGCUGUUAUUACGUACUUAUAGAAUAACAAAGCCCUAGCUGUGUUAUUUGAAUGUGAUCAUAAAGUAAGAUUGUAAGAUUAUCGCGUAUGGCUUGAUGUGCCUUGUAAAAGCGUGCACGGUAUAACUAUGGAGUAAGACUACUAGUUUGUGAAAGUGACAUGUGUGUAUUCUCAAUGUAAUUUUUGGAUUUUUUAUAAGGUGAUUAGUUAUAACUUAUAACAGUAAGGCGGAUAGCUAGGUAGCGGCACUAGUUCUUUUCGAAAGGAAUACAUAUAUAUAAUGCUACAGUGCAACUAGUAGAUUGGAAAUUCUUGCUCGCAAUUUACGGAACAAUCCGAUUUAAUCAUCAACAAUUUCUUUCGGCAGUAAAAUCAUAAGUUUCAAAUUUCAAAUUAAAAUUUCUAUUUAUAGUUCUCAAUACCUAAUCUAUGCAUUCACUGCAAUACAGAUUUUGGAUUUCUUUUUUGUCUUUCUUUUUUUUUUUUGCCUUAAUUUUUUAAAAAAUUUUACUGCUGGAAGUAGGAGAAGACUCAAAACUAAAUAUAUAUACUGAGUUUAAUGAAAUAAACAGGUAAACAUGUAUUGCCCUAGGGGUUAAUCGACUGUAUUGCCCCCUACUUCUCAACAUUCUCAACAUUAAAAUAAAGGACUUGGUGGUUGGUACCCGAGAUCUAAGUUCGAAUCCUAGUUGAUUUACAUUUCCAGCUAAAUUUAUUUUUAAAUAAAAUAAAUGAAACGGGUAGCAUGCUAUCUAUUUUUAAAAAAAUAUUGAACCUUCUAGGUCUUUAACUGCACAUGCUCUCUGCUCUCUACUCCCUAGUUUGUCUCCUUUUACUUGGAAUAUUAUUUCUGUACCGGAAACCCUAUGCUAGGAAUAUUUAAUUUUUGCUAUCACAAUUAUUCCAUGUUGGAAUCAAUCAAAUAUCUCUGCUUUAUAUGAAAGUACAAUAACAAAUAUUUUUUAAACUAUCAUUUCAAUACACAAUAUAUCCUAUAAGAAGCGUGCCUGUUACAAAAAAAAAAGAAAAAAGACUGAUUUAUAAUUUAUAAUAUAUAGUUAAGCCCUGCCGAUCUCAAACCCCUUCCCCUUGCCUCUCUCUCUCUCUCUGGAGAAAUCUGGAAUUUACCCUGCAUGAUCGUUUGCAUUGGACCUUACCGAUAUGUCAAACUCAGAAAGAAAUGGCAGAUAUACAAGUAGAAUAAUGUAUGCGCUUUUAUGAUGUUGAAUGUCCCACAUAUCCUUUCUACUUAUGGAAAAAAAGAAAGGAAAAACUUUAAAAAUUCUCCUAUGAUUUCAUAUUUUUUUAUUUUAGUACCCUGUGGUUUAAAGUGUAUCAAGUUAGUACCUUGUCGUUUCUCACUUUAUCACUUUAGCACUCUGUGGUUUAAAGUGUAUCAAGUUAGUACUCUGUAAUUUUACACUUUAUUACUUUAGUACCAUGUGGUUUCACACUUUAUCACUUUAGUACUCUAUGGUUUAAAAAACCACAGGAUACUGACUUGAUACAAAAUUAAAACCACAGGGGUACUAAAGUGAUAAAGUGCAAAACCACAUGGUACUAACUUUAUAUACUUUAAACCACAUGAUACUAAAGUGAUAAAGUGAGAAACCAUAGGGUACUAACUUGAUACAUUUUAAAUCACAGGAUACUAAAGUAAAAAAAAAUUGAAAUCACAAGAAGAUUUUUGAAGUUUUCCCAAAAAGAAAAGAGUUAAUAGUAAGUGUUCCGCCCGUUGCUUUUGACAAUGCAUCAAAUGAAUAGGAACUGAGUAUAAACUCACUCUCCAACUCACUUUCCAAACUCACGGCACAUUGGUAGUCGUACACACAAAUCACCGUUUACGAUAGUUCUAACCAUUCGGCCGUUCUUCCUAACUGUAGCAUUCUUGCAAAAAGUCAUCUAAUAUUUUAAAUUAAAAUUUAUUAAUAUAAAUCAUUCAUUUAUAUAAACAAUCUGUCCAUUCCCUAUUUCAUUCUUGACAAAAAAAAAAUAAUUAUUUAACAUUAAAAUUUUUGAAUAUUGAUAUGUAGGCUUAGUCUGGUAAUAUGCUAGCCUAAGUUGCUAUUUUUGUAUUUAUAAAAGAUCUAACAAAUUUAAAAGUACUUUAGAAUUUUUUCUCUUUCAAUACUAUAACAAUGGUCUCAAUUGUCACCGAUCUAAUGGCGGUUACAACCGUAAUUUCAUAGUGUGUGCAUAUAAAUAUAUAUUAAACCUUCAUAAUAUAAAAGUGGUACUUGGCACCAUCACAAUGCUAAACUAGGCUGUAAUAUAAUUGAAGUUUAAGGGGCCACUGUAUUAUAAUUGAACUUUACGGGUCCAUUGUAGGAUAAUCACUCGUCGAUGGUAGUUAGAAAACAAAAAUCAAAUUAGAUUAAAAUAAAUUGACUGUUGAUAUAGAAAAUCUUUACCUUUUCAAACUAUAAGCGACCAUUCUUUUUCUUUCAAAAAAAAAAAAAGAAAAAGAAAACACCCUUUUGAGUAUUGAUUUACUAUUGCACCAAGGUAGAAGUGAUUUUUCACUUCUCCUAAAUAGGGAAAAAAAAUUACUAAACCAAAUGGUAACCAUACAAAGAGCGAGAAGAAUCUAACUGAUGGAGGGCAACAUGGGGCUGGAGCCCAUUCCAGAGCCUCCAAAGGAACCGGGCUCCGCAUGCUUGACUCUCCCAUAGCGUCGGAUGUGACGAAGGAGCCUGGCCAAGAAGGUGUUGUGGCAAAUGGUUGAGCUGUCGCAGACGACAGCAACGUGCUUGCGCGCCCUCGUUACCGCCACAUUCAUUCGCCUGCUGUCGCCCAAGAAUCCAACCGCUCCUAAUGUGUUCGAUCGCACCUACAUGCAACAUUCAUCAUGUGAAUAACUAAAUGAUGAUAAUUAAUACCUGCGCAAGUUAUCGGCACAAGUCAAAGCUUAUAUAUGUAUGUGCUUUAUUUGCAAAAUUAUGUGGGCGAGGUACCAUUGAUAUGAUGACGGCAUCAGCCUCCCUUCCUUGAAAGCUGUCUACAGUUGCAACCUCAACGCCAGAAGCUUCUGGAUAUUCAUCAAGCCUGUCCCUCAACAACUGCACCUGAGCAAUAUAAGGUGAUUGAACCGCAAUGGCCGUCGGAGAGACCCCUAUACAGAAUAAAAUACUUCAUUUAGUAAUUAAUGCAGCUGAAUGGUUUUAAUGUAUUACAUGGCAAACUAAUUUGUCCUAAGGCUGGUCAUAUAUGGCUUAGAAAGAGAGAGGAAUAUCAUUAUUCUUGGCAAGAAAUAAAAAUCAGAAAAAGAUGAGGUUAUUUGUAACAACAAACAAAAUAGACUCUUACGAUGUUAAGGCCCUAUUUGGAUGCACUGCCAGAAAACUCUACGGAGUUUAUAUUCUGUGGUUUAAGUCUGACUAAAAUAGAAAAUCAUGUAACCCAAUUCUAAAAGUUUGAGUAAAUUUUAUUUUAACCCUACUUUUUGGUCCAUACAGUAACUAUCUUUUCAGGUGUCUACUUAAAGCAGCCAAGCACCUUAUAACAAAGUUUUUUAGGAACACAGAAUAGUUAUACCAGUCUUUGCUUUAUAAUGCAUCCAAACAUGGCCUAAUAAGAGUAUAAGAAAUAUAGUCACAAAUACCACCCACACAAUAUAGAAGAUCCUGAAAAUAAUUACUGUACAGAAAUUACAACUUUUCAAUUGAUGUAGAAACUCACGACAAAUGGUAUCACGUCAACAUCAAGAUAUGGUAGAUAAUGUUCUACUAGGGUAAGCCAAUUCAAUUCAACUUAUUUUAGUCAAUGCUUUUUUGUGAUACUCCCAGCAGCUGCUGAAUCAACUCAUCUUCUCCGUCCCAAAUUCAAAAUCGACGAUCUUUGCUAAAACCAAGAGUUGACAGGCCAUUUUUAAAUGAGUAUGUAUAUUUUUUUUUUUUUUUGUGUAUGCUGACACUGAUGUUGGCAGAUAGAGAAUUACAUAUUAACAGUUAAUAUUUAAUUUUAGGGAAAACUUCAAAUACCCCUCUUGUGGUUUCACUCUUUCUCACCUUAGUACCCUAAGGUUUAAAGUGUAUCAAGUUAGUAUUCUGUGGUUUCGCACUUUCUCACUUUAAUACCAUGUGGUUUAAAGUGUAUUAAGUUAGUACCUUGUGGUUUCGCACUUUCUCACUUUAGUACCAUGUGGUUUAACAUUUUAUUAAGAGAAAAAUAAAACCACAGGGCACUAACUUGAUACAAAAAUAAAACCACAGGAUACUAACUUGAUACAAAAAUAAAACCACAGAGUACUAACUUGAUACACUUUAAACCACAGGGUACUAAAAUGAGAAAGUGCGAAACCACAGGGUACUAACUUGAUACACUUUAAACCACAGGGUACUAAAAUGAGAAAGUGCGAAACCACAGGGUACUAACUUGAUACACUUUAAACCACAGGGUACUAAAAUGAAAAAGUACGAAACCACAGGGUACUAACUUGAUACACUUUAAACCACAGGGUACUAAAAUGAAAAAGUGCGAAACCACAGGGAGUGUUUUUGAAGUUUUCCCUUAAUUUUAUCAAGAAAUUUGUUACUGUAACUAAUAUUUGUACAUUCUCAAGCAAGCAUCUCUAAUUUGUUCAUCAAAAAGACAAUGCUGCAAGCAAUCCAAAAGUAGAGUAAAACAAAUUACAUAGAAUUUGAUCUAAAAUAGUAAAGCAAACACUUGAAGAACAAUGUUGGGCAUGAAAUCUGAAUUUUAACCUACUUCAAAUCCAUAGAUAAUGUUCAAUCUGACUUAUCUUCAUAAGAUUCAUCUCUAUCCAGUACCAAGACUGUAACGUCCUAAUAGUUCCACACUGGAUGAAAAGAUAAUUGUGUAUGAGAAUAUAAGGACCAAGAGCUCUAGUAAUAAUAAUUAAGCUUAAGUAUUUUGGGCCAUUGGUUUGAGCCUAACAAAUUAUUACUGCUAGUGGGCUAGAUCGUUACAAUGACCCCUCUUCAUGGAAUUAGUCAACCUAUCUAUUGUGCGGAUGCUCUAAAUUAUCCAGUAUAUAGCAUGUAAAAUUCAGUAAGUCUCAUAUCCAAUGACAUGAGUUAUUUGCAUACACCCAGAAUAAUGAAAUAUUCAUUUCUUCGCAAAGAGCACGUGCAUACAAAAGAGGAAUACAUAGGUUAAAGAGGAAGAGAUGUAUACCAGAAUAAAUAAGAUUAAAAACGUGUUGCACAACUAUGUCAGCUUCACCUUCAUUGUAAAAAGAUCCUGUGCCAGCGGGGUCCAAAUGCUCCUCACAACCAACAUAUAAGCUGCCAUACGGCAUUCGCGUAUCAAGUAAGAGCAGAGGGCAUUGAGUUAUCCACGUAACCUGAUCAAAACCAAAUUAUGUGAUUAGAAAUCUACAAUAAAUUUCUCUUCAAAAAGUUUGAUAAAUGAUAUUACACCAUAUCAAGUUUUAACAUGUUUACAGAUUUGUUCCUUACGAAUCUGCUAGGAGAAUGAGUUAUAACAGAAGAUUAAGCAUAUAUAAUUACUACAUAUUGGCCUAGAUGGCGAAAGCUUUGCAAAAAAGUGUGGUCGGACAAUGAAUUGUGACUAGCCUUGUAUAUUGUGUUUUGAUCUUAUGUGUGAUGGUGUCAUGCAUUGACUGAGAAAUCUCGGACUUGCAAAAUGAUGAAGUUUAUAUGGUCCGGGGCUUCAAAAUCAAGCUUCUAACCCAUGGUCACAAGCUAGAAUUUUUUAUUGUUCACGCUAUCUGUGAGAUAGUACCCAGAGUACUCGUCCUUCAUGCAGUAGAUGAGUAAAAUUUACCUGACAAGGAAAUUUCACAACCUAAGGAUUGCUAUAGUUACAAAGAAUGUCCCAAAGUAAACUGAUCCUUAUUAAGAGUCAUGAAAACAUGCAGAUCUCCUUAUUAAGCCACUACCACUGAGUUUGUUAGCUUCAUUCCCAAAGGCAUGAAAGAUCACAUCCUCCUCCCACCGCUUAGGUGCUGACAAAUUCAUUCUCUAGCUUACUCCAAUCGUGGUUCUUUCACCAUUCUCUGCCUGUGCCAUGCACGAUAAUCUAACAUUGAUAAGCAUGAUAAGUUGAGCAAAAGGGCAGGAUCUUGAUGGUCUUGUUAAGACAGACACUAUUGUGUUGUUUCUUCUCAAUUCAAUCUUUUCUGGUAACAUGCUACAUCCCAAAGUUCCCACCAUUCUCUGAGGUCGUGUGUUCAAUCUCAUCAUAAACAAAUUUGGUGGUUAAACUCCCACUAAAUAAAUUGCAAAGUUAUCCCCCAAACUCAUUAUUUCACUUUGAACAAUAUUCUUUUAAAGUGAACUUAUUGCUCCCUAAACUUCUAUAAAUGUAACAAAUUGGCCCAUCCUGUCAUGUGUCAUAAGUCUAAUGAUGACAUGAAUGGCACAUAAACAGUUUCUGUAACCUAUGCACCAAAGGCCCCAAGUAGAGCUUAGAGUUUGACAACUGACAAUAUGAGCCCAUUUCAUCAGCUGCAGUUAACAGAUAUAUUUUCAGAUUGAAAGCAACCUUUUGGUACUAUUUUUUCAACCAAAAAAAGAAGGCGUUGACCAAGUCACACAUCGUCUUUCCAUCAAUGAACUUAACAUCAAAUGGCAAAAUGAGUCAAUUGAUAUAUCUAUAGAAGCUCGGAGGUUGUUAAAUUAACUUUAAAAGAAUGGGAAGUGAAACUUUUAUGAAAGUUCAGAGGCUAACAAUGCAAUUUAUCUAAUUCUGCCCAAACUAUAUUGCAAGUUAAGUCCCGUCGCUUGUCUCAACUCUCAUCAAUGUGCCUUUCAUAUCCAUCAUGCAUGUGUGAAAAGAAGGUGUCAUGACUAACAGUCGUCAUUACCAUCAGAUUGAUCUUUCAUGUAAAGAACACAACUGUAUUAUCGAUGGUAUUGAAAAAUUUUCAACCUAAGUGGUGUGAAUCCUACACCAAGCUAUGCAAGUGCUGCAUGGUUCUUUAAUAAAGCAAAGAUAUAAGUAGUCGUCUAGGAGACUAGGACAUUAUCAGAAAAUUGUAUUGGUACAUUAUAUGAAAUAACCGUUGUUUUCCAAAAGCUUAAGCUAUCAGAGAACGAUGUUUUUAAUAUUUAUACUCAAUACUUUUCCUUCCUCCUCGACUAGAGACUUUUAAUAGGCACGGGACAUGGAUUUGAAUUAAAUAGAAGUAAAUUACAUAGUGCUACGUGCCUAAUGAGACUCGAAUUCAAGACCUCUUGGUCUAAACCAUGUUAAAUUAUAUGAAACAAUUAUUGUUUACCCAAAAGAUUAAGCUACUAUAUAGCAGUGUUUAUUAAUAUUUAUAUUCAAUGUGUACAAUAAAAACUAGAAUAUAGUACCUCUGACUAGAAUAUUAAAACUCUUUUUUUGGAAGCUUUCUAACUUUAUUAAGUAUUUUUUUACAACAAAAAGGCAAAUGCACGUUAGGAUAGCCCAAAUAUAGAUACAAAUAGCCCUCUCCUGUGACAAUGAGGUCUAUUUGAAUAUAAAAUCGAAACUAGGAAAUCGUGCCAAUUGUACUACCUAAAACUUCAUGAUCACCAUUUGAUAGAAGAUGUUUUAUUGUACACCACACAUCUUGAGGAAUAUCUUUCUCCCAAGAGAAGCAAGGUUGAUGGUUCAGGAAGAAAGCAGAGCAAUGUCUCAAAUUGAAUAUGGACUACUAAGUACUAAUGGAACUUAACAAGAGGAGUUGGUCAUAACAAUAGAACCACACACAUGCUAGUUGAUAACCAAAUCAUUGGUUUACUCCAUCGAAGGAAGAGCAUACUAAAAUAGAUAAUAUCAUCUACCACAUUGUCAUAACCAACUAACGAGGGAGUAUGAUGCACUGUAUUGUUUGAUGAUCUACUGGUUUCCUAAGCAUUUAAGCAGCUGAGGUUGCAUGCUGAAUUCCAAGUUUAGCGUGAAAAGAUUUAUGCACCAGCUAAAUACAAUAGGUUAAGGCAUUAGUAAGAUACUAUUAAAUGUUAGAAAGCAUACCUUCACAAAUGGAGAAUCGACAAGAAGAUGCGACGAGACGGUUGGAGAAGACUUCAACAAUCCUUCAUACAUCUCUUUUGAUGCCCAACUGGCUAUUGCAUCAUGCAUUCGGUAUUGAAUCGUCAAUCUUGUGGUUAGCCAACCAUCAUGUAGAGCUGACGCUCUUUCCAAGAGAGACAUACCAAGACCACCUUCCAGAGCCUUUCUGGACAAAAUAACUGGUGCAAGCUGACACUGAUCACCUGCCAAUAUGCAGCGCUUCCCUUGCAAAAUGGGGAUCCAGCAUGAUGGUUCAAUUGCUUGCCCCGCCUCAUCUAUAAUGACCAGAUCAAAGCUGUCCAGUCUUCGGAUGACGGGGUCAGCUGCUCCAGUAUUAGUCGAUAGGACAACCUGGGCAUUUGACAACACUUCUUUUAUGGUUUCUUUCUCUUUCUUCUUCAAAGUCUUCCCAAGCUGUUUUAAGAGUUGACGGAUACCUGCUGCUAGGGAGUCAUCCUUUAAGCAAAGCCUGAGGUCCUUUCUUAAAUCCGAUUUUUUCCUCUCAAACUCUUUCUUAAAAUCUGAAAGCCUGUUGUUAACUAUUUCUUCUAGAGAUUUUGAAGACACGGUUGAAGAUAUACGGGCAGGAUUUCCAACACGUACAAUAUUCAACCAAGAAUCAUAGAGUCUCUCAACCAGAUUAUCCACAGCUGCAUUCGUAGGAGCUGUUACAAGUACACGCUCACCUUGCUGGACAGCAAGGGUUAUUAGUUCCUUCAAUAAUCUAGUCUUGCCAGUACCAGGAGGUCCUUGAAUUAUCAGAAGAGGCCGCUUCUUAUUCAAGCCUAAGGCAAUAGCUUUUAAUUGGGAGUCAUCAAACUUUUCCUUCUUUACUAGUCCAUCAAGUUUUGACUCACCCCAUUCGAUGAGAUGAUUCUGCUCAAGCCACAUAAUGUCUUCCUUGUCCCCAAAGAGAGAAGCCACCACAGCAAUUGAAGGAUUUCUUUUCUGUAAACCAUUCUUCUGGAGAAGCAUUAAUGCUUCACAGUUGCGCUGCCAAAUCAAAUGUUGAAAAGAACAAGAUAAGUAAAUCAACUACAAGGGAAACCAGCAUGACCCUGUUUUAAUUGUUCUGAUAGACUUAAAUAUGCAACUUUUGAAUUUGUAGACAGCAUUCCAAUCACCUUACGAGCACAACUGAACAAAACAUCUAUUUCUACACAAAAUUCAACUUGGAUAACUCACUUCUCAUUAUUCUAUAGAAUUUUUCACUGUUCAGAUAUAACAAGGCAUCUAGAGGAUAAUAAAGGUAUGGAAAAUGCAACAAGAUUAAGUGUUACAAAGUCAUCGUCUCGGGCAUGAUUAAAUAAAUUACAAAGAGAAGUUCCUUAUAGCAAGAUGUAAUGCAAAGGAGAUAGAUAUUAGUCUUCAAGUAGUUUGAGACUAUGGUAAAGCUGUUUUUCUAGAGUAGUCAUGAUUAACUAAUGACUCUUUCAGAUCGAUGGGAUAACCUUGUUCCCUAAUGCAGAGAUUCAAUCAUGCAAAAGAAGUUUAGUAGAAGUAACAGCAAAACCAAAUAGCACUACACAAAGCAACUAAAUCUUGAAGCUAUCUUCAACAAUCUGAAAACUAGGGCUUUAUCUAAGUGAGGAUGUAUGAAGAUUGCACUGUUUGAAUACCUCAUAUGUAAGUGAAUCUGCCAGUCCUUGUAUACGGUCGAUGCGGAUGCUCUUCCCAAAUAGCUUAGAGAAGGUAGGAUCACCAUGGCGAGACUCAAGAGCCACAGUGAUGCUACGACCAUCCUCACCUAAAUUAUAAACAAAACCUUGCAUGCAAGAUGUCGCUCCUGCACCUGAGCUAUUGCAUGUUCUCACACAAAUCAUGUCCCCUGGAGAAAGAGUGGUUGGGGGCAAUCUAUUGUUACCUUCAACUUUAAAUAGGACCAAGUGCAGACCUCCCAAACCUGCAGGCAUUUUACGACACAAAACAUUUUGCAGGGAUUUAAUAACAACAGUUUUCCUAGAGCUACUGACAAUCUUCCACUUUGCGAGAGUAAAUAUAUGCCAGAAUAUCAUGAAUAUUGAAGCCACCAUUUAUGAUUUAUCUGGAGAAGAAACUUCCAUUGAUUAGUCUUUGGCAAAAAACAUUUACUACUAUUUUCUUACCAUAGGAAAAAAAAAAAAAAAGUAAAUCAAAUCAUAUCCAAGAACCUAUUUUUGGCAUCUAUAUGCAAGUGAGUGGUCGACUCAUCAGUCAAGCAUGUAACACUUUGUGUUUCUAGUUUUCAAGAAAACAGAUUUAUGUGCUCAACUGAUACUAUAAUUGGACAACAAGUCACAACGGACAAUGUACUUCAGAUUCCAGAGAAUAGCAAUAAAGAAAUCAUAGGUUGAUCUAUAGAUAAUAACUCAAUGAGGUCAUGUACUAGUAAGAGAAAAACUUUCCUCAGGGACCACCAACUUACAGUGAGUACAGUCCAUGAAAGCUCCACCGUCAUAUAAUUUUUUCUUUUUUUUUCACAAUUAACUUUUGUCUGAUGAAAGAUUUGUAAGUUUGAAAGCUAGCAGAAACAGUGAGCUUACCAGUUGAAGAGCUAAUCACAUUCAAAUUGCAAAUGGUGUCGCAUUGCUCUUGCUGUGCCUGCCCAUGGCUCACCAAAUAUUCAAUCGGUUUAAGCAAGUCAGAAUUACUCUCUGGUGUCGGAACUGCAUUCAGCUCUUCUUGAGUGAACUCCAGCUCCGCAUCCCGCUCUAUGCGAAGAAGGUCUGACAUCUGCUUCACAAAGUCUUCAAUCUUUUUCAGCAUUACUUUAGCUUUUUUCAGCUCUAUCCCAAGACCACUAUGCACUGCCUUACUCUGGGGAGUCUUUCGCACUGCCGCUCGAUGCUGUGCUGCAAAUGAAAACAGUCAAGCAUAAUUUCAUUAAUAACAGUGGCAAAUGAACACGCCAAGUGUAAUUACAUUAAUAACAGAUAAGGGAAAGAAAGGGCCACAAAAUCAGCAAUCAUGAACAUCAGGUUGAGGCAGCGCUAUGAUAUUGACUAUCCUCAAUACCACUUUAAAUUAGCCCACUGCUUGACUGGUUAAAUUCGGUUUACAUGAACAGACUUUGUCAUUUUAACUUGUGGAACUGCCGAUGUCAGUUUGAACACAAUCUCAAACCAAGCAGAUAUUACGCCAAUAUCAGGUUCCCAAUUUUAAGUAAGAACAAAAAUGUAAAAUCAUUAGUCUGAACAAUUACUAGGCAAGGGUUUUUAAUUCUAUUAUCAUAUGUUGGAGAAAAACGUAGGAAGCGGAAGGGAACCUGAAUUGGCAAAGUCUUUGAGAAGCAUCCAGGAUUGGGUGGCGCGCCAGUCGGUGAUGACGGCCUGACGCUGGAGGUCCUGGAGGACGUCCCUGAGCUCGCGCUGGAAGUGGUCAAAGAGGGUGGGGUAGUGGGUGCAGGCCUUGAAGCAGAGGGCCUCCAGGCCCUUGGGCAUGGGGACGGCGUACAGGUAGGGCUGGGCCCGGAUGACGAAGCCGAGGCCCCCAAUGCUGGCCCCGUGGCCAACGCCCAGCCGCUGGCGGAGCUCGGAGAACUCACCCUGGAGCUCGGCGGAGGCAAAGUCGGAGGCCAUGGAGCGCAUGCCCUGGCUGAUCCAGCGCACCACGCACUUGCCCAGCUCCCUCCGCCCCAGCGGAUCCCCGUUCUGGUACACCGCCCCCACGCUGAUGGACGCCUCCUCCGCCGACGGCACGCACUCCUCCUCAGAACCUUCCGCCGUGGCCGAUGCGGCUGCCUCCUCUUUCUGCUUCUUCCUCCUCUUUCUCUUGGCACGCGGUCCUGCCAGAGGAGGGGGGAGGGCAGCAGAUGCUCUCGCCCUUCCGGCGGCGGUGCGAAUGGGGAGUGAAGGAGAGAGGGGUCCCGCAGAAGAAGCGGAGUGAGAGAUACCCCCCUGCUUGUGGUUGCUGUGGACUCGGAGUUGGGAAUAAGAAGCCCGAAACCAGGAGGGCGAGGGCAAGGGCAAGGGCAUUGCCGAUCCCAAGGCGGCAGCACCACACGAGCAGCAAACGGCACCCUUCAUCUCUCUCUCUCUAUUCCACCACGCUCAUCCAACGCGAAGGAACAGAGAACAAAGAGAAGCAGGGAGGAGAGAACGAACGGGAACAAGAGGGGGAGGGGCCGCCCGAAAGCGGGACGUCCCUCUUUUCCUCUCUUUUUUUUUCAACAACACAUUACUCCGCCUUCUCGUUAUUUUCUUUUCUAUUUUCCCCGUUUUUCUGCCGAAUUUUAAAGGCUUUCUGCCGAAUUUUAUAGGCUACCGGCCUCCGGGUGGAGGCUUGUGGGCCGUGCGUCCGCGGCCAGGGAAUUUGCUACGUAGAGUUUGGAAUGACCAAUGGUUGAGUGCACAACUGGCCUGCUUGCGGAUCUUCGGCUUGCGUGGGGAUCGGAUAGACGCCCUUCGAACGUAGUGGGCCUUCGAGGAGGUUGUAUACUGGCCGCAGAAGAAACGAGAGGGAACAGAGACAUGCAUCCGACUGGCCUCACCACUUCAAAUGCGAUUCGUUCUAAUCCGACCUUUCCAGUCUGACUUGCCAAUCUGGGUAUUGCCAGCUCGAGUUACCACAUGCCAACUGAAACUACUAACUCGUUAACAACAGAGACUAUAGUUUGUGAGUUAACGCAGGCGGCGCGCCGGGUAAAAAGUCAAACAGGCCGUACUUAAGCUGGGCCGAAUGGCCCCUUAGUUCUCUUGCGAAGCACACCACAUUGCCGAGCCGAGCAGGCUCUCAGCAAGGUUUGGACCAAACCGUCUCGCAGGGUUCUUGCAGCCCAUCCAUCGUUGGGUUGGAUGCGGUACAAGGCUCGCAGGCUGCUCUCGACCAACGGCAACCGCCAUUUUGCACCGUUUUUAUUCGACUGCAUAAUGAAUGGUCGGUCUGUCGUCCCCGCAGGCCGCUGAGCUUUCCAGCGAACGCCAUUGAUCGCUACUUCCGCCUUCUCUGUCUUCCGGCCGCGCCAAUUGCAUCUUCUCUUUCUGUUUCUCUGUUUCGCGGCAAUGAUUAGAUCGCCCUGCUCGACCGCGACGAAAAGGAAGGAGGUUCGUUCUAGUUGCCUUCACAUACCACCGAUCUGUCGAUUCUCUCUCUCAUCUUUUUGUUCCCCCGAAUUCUAGUGUAUCAUUCCAAUAGUAUUUAUCGUCAGUUCUUUGCGUGGCGGCAGAAGGGCUCCUCCUCCGUGUCCGGUUCUGCUGUUGCAUUCCAGCAGCUGCUGCAUCAGCUUGGGGACGACUACGACUCCCCCGUGGAUUUCCAGCUUCCGGACUGGCUCAAGAAGCCGCUUAAGGCCGCCACGCCAUACACCUCCAUCAGGCGCAGCAUCCUAUUUCGCAAUCCCCUCGCUUCCCCUACUUUUGCCCCUUUCUUCUUCAUCGCCUUCUUUUCAUUCCACGCGCUGACAAGUUCUCUCUUCAUUUUUUUUUCCUCGUCAGUCCUUCUAUCAUGAUUAUUACGUAGUGUAGGCAUUCAAACUCUCUGAUCUACUGAAAAUUAAAGAAGAAAUUUGAGAAGAAACAAAAGCGAAAAGGCCAAUUCAAGCAUAAGCAAGGGAACAAUUUUACUUACGAAAUUUGCAACUUCUAUUUCACAUUUCUCAGUGUCUCACAGUAUAUAUAAGAUUACCUGUUGUUUCUCUUGACCACGCAUAAGAUGUGUAUCUGACCAAAAGGAUCAAAAGGCAUGCUGACGAUGACGGCAUCUUCUGUUCCUGCACUCCUCCCCCUUCUGGAAUAUCAUCCGUCUCUGUCUGCGAAAGAGAUUGCCUUUGUGGGUGAGCACAUUCAAAAUUUUUUGUGCCGUUUUAAAAAAUAACGAAGAAACCAUACCUGUAGCUUCAUAUUGUGCAAAGCACCAUGCCAUGAAUGAUGGUGUUCUCUGGAGGCUUUCCAUCUUUUAUUAUCUUCUCAUGGCCACCCUUGUUCAGUCGAAUGCUUUUUUUCUAUUCUUUCUUGCUGCUCCCUUCUUCUUCCUCUUCUUCUUUUUGUCAUGCAGAAUGCUUUUGUCUACCUGCUCAAGAAGUUGCAAGUGUGGCAGUUUAUGUGCUAACAAACCGUUUCAAAACCGCCCUAUUAAGAAAGUAAAAUUGAUUGAGGUAAAACUUUACCUGCUGAGAUUUCUUUCUCGUCUUGCUGUGUUUAAGAUGCCUUCUUCCCGUCUUGCUGUGUUGUAAGAUGCCUUCGUCCUUACUUGUGACGCAUUCUCUAUCAGCUAUAUUUCAAUUUUGUUUCAUGGGCUUAGCAUGUAUAUUUUUGUCACCAUCAUUUGUGCUGAACUUCCGGGCUUGGAUGCACCAAAUGCGUCUUUGUGCUCUUUGUACUCUAUUUUUUACGUUAAUUGCUUUUUGGACCUCAUUGUUUCGCCACCACGAAAAGUGUUCUAUAAUUGGAGGGAACACUUCUCACAAUUUGAGUUUAGCCAGCUCGUAUUUCCCUUUCCAUUCCAAUUCGACUUAAAUCAGUAUCUUACAAUGCCAAACUAAUCUAUGCUUUCUACAACUCAUCUUUUUAUUUAUUAUUAUAUACGCUCUCGUUGCUUAGUGUGCACUUUCCAAUUAUACUAUAUCGGCCUGUUGAUAUGAUAAGCUGUUUUACCCAUAUGUUUGUCUGAUUUGUUCGCCUUAUUUGCCACUACAGUAUCUUCACUGCUAAUUUGUUUGGUAUAAGAAUCACUAUUUUCAAGAUUUGCUACUUGAGGCUUUGUGCGGAGGUUAAAUCUUAAUAUGGUGUACUUCAGUUCGAGCACCCUCAUCACUGCACAGUUCUAUUUCCAGAGCCGGUGUGCCUUGUUGUUGCAACCAAUGACUGUUCUUUAGAUGUGUUGAAUAUAAAAUACAAAAAGAAAAAAAAAAACUUUCUUUGAUAGUUUAAGCUUUUGAAGAACAACAGUUCUUUCAUUUAUAAAUUGUACCAUAGCAGAAAGUCCUAAGUUCGAGUCCCAUCGGUCUCCUUUCUUUAUUUAAUUUCCUCUCAUUUACUAUUCCACGUUUUUUGUCUAUCAAAAAGUAUCAAACCUAGACAUAAGGGAUAGAGUUGAAUAUAAAAUGUUUAAAAACAUGGUUCUCUUGUAUCUUAAGCAUUUGGAGAACAAUUGUUGUUUUAUAUUAUCUAACAAGAUACCCAGCCAUCAGGCUCUUAUUUUGCAACCAAUGCUAUCUUUGCAACUAUGCUACCUCUCUUGUGCUAAUUCUUAUUACUUAUCAAAAUAUGCAUAUCAUUUUUGUAUUGUAGAUGCUACAUCAGUUUCCGUAUUCGUGUUGACUGCCUAUCAUAACAAUUUAUGUCCUUUGUGAUUAACCGAAGAAAGAGCACUCCAUUUAAUAGAGUGUUGUAUCAUUUAAUAAUUUAUGUCCUUCCAUAUCAAUGUCAUAACAAUGACGUGAUAUGUCUCUAAUUGGCAUGGUCGGUGCAUAAUUGAGUGUAUGUAUAUAUCAUUUCAGGUGUUGAAGAUCUGUCUUCACUUAUGCUUAUUUUGAGAAGUAAGCUAUAGAAUGCCUGCAAUCAUUUCUCUCGUAAAAUGUGAACAAAACAUGUAUAGUUUUUAAAAGUUCUGAUUAAGCAUAAUUUCUUGACGCUACAUGAUUUUAUUCCCUAGUUUGGUCCUUUCCUACUAAUAAUAAACUGUGAAGAGAAUUUGGAACUGGGAAGGAGCUGAGAUAAUGUGAUUUAUGUUGAUGUAGAUAUGAGAUAAGUUAAAAUGGAUGGAAAUAACUGUACAGCUUGGAAUGAAGGUUUUGAAAUUCUCGUUUAAUCUUAAAUUGGCAUUUUCACUAAAAUUUUUCGAUAAUUCCUGUGACUGGUUUGCUUAUUUGCAGUAUGUCUCCUUAUGGUUCGAGAUCAUGGUUAUUUCAAGAAAUGCAAAUUCUAUUUUUUGAAAGGAUAAUGCAAAUUCGAUCAGAAUAUCUGACCCUUUUUAUGGUUUGAGAUCAUGGUUAUUUGAAGAAAUGCAAAUUCUAUCAGAAUAUCUGACCUGAUAGAGAGAAAACUGGGUAUUUCCAGCCAUAAAAUAAUUACAUAAAUAGACCAAAAGCAAAGUUUUUCUAUGCUAUAAGGAAUAUGCCUAUAAGCAUCUACAAGAAAAUAUUAAGAAGUGCCGAUCAUCAUGUUGUAACUAAUAAUAAACUUGUGUGCAUUCUUUGGUAAAUCUGAAGAUACUAUUACAUAAUAACAAGUGAAUAUACAUUAAAAUAUUAAUUGGUAAGAUAUAAAGCAAUGCUCUUGACUGCUUUAGGUGCACCUUCGAAGAAAUGCUUCUGAAAUAGUACAUAUAUGUGGAUAUGUAUAAGAUUGCUUGAUGAUCCAAUAAUUGAUCUUCUCAAGUUGAAGUUAUUUCUUUUCCCUCGAGGAGCAUGUAGUAAUUGGCCGAUUAGGAGGUAUGCUUAGAUGCAUUUUGUGCCAAAAAAAAAAAAGUAAAUGAAAAUCAGAAGAGGUAUUGAUUUCUUUGUAGGGGCCUUGUCCGAUAAUGCAUUUUGUGCCAAAAGUAUCGAUUUCUUUGCAGGGGUCUUGUCAAAUAGAGUGUUAUUACCUUGGUUGCAAGAGGCAACAGAAGACUUCUUAAUCUUUGAUUUAGCAUAACUUUAGCCAGUUUGUUCUGCCCAAUUAGAUGUUCCUUCUGUUCCUUCCUUUUCAAGUUAUGGAUCUCAGAUGUUGUUCCUUUUGUUCUAAAUCAGUGGAACAAUUUUUUAUAGACAGAGAGGUGUGGACUGGGACUUGUAGCAGAUGAAGACAUAAAACGGGGAGAUUUUGUGAUUGAAUAUGUCGGUGAAGGUAAUAAUAUUCAUCUAGUAGCAUUUUUUUUGUGUUAAAACAAUAGAUUUGGCUGUAUGAUGUUUCACAUUUUAAUAGGAACUGACAUGUUCACUCCUUUCUUGAUUUAACAGUCAUAGAUGAUAAAAAGUGUGAGGAAAGGCUGUGGAAAAUGAAGCACUGUGGGGAGACUAAUUUUUAUCUCUGUGAGAUCAAUCGUGACAUGGUUAUUGAUGCUACAUACAAGGGAAACAAGUCUAGAUUUAUAAACCACAGCUGUCAACCUAACACUGAGAUGCAAAAAUGGUCGUCCACACUUCCAUUUAUUUUAUUUUGUCGUUUGGUGGGAUACCAAACUGUAUUUUAUGUCUUUUUAUAGGGCAAUUGAUGGUGAAACCCGUAUUGGUAUAUUUGCUACUCGUGACAUAAGAAAAGAGGAAGAACUGACUUAUGACUAUCAGUAUGUUCUUCUAAUACACCUUUUUUUUUGUGCCCUGGUUUUGGGCAUACUACAUCUCUUUCAACAUGCUUAUGCAUGGCUCUUUUUUAAUUCAAUUACUGAUUAUGUUGCUAAGAUAUGCAGAUUUGUACAAUUUGGAGCAGAUCAAGAUUGCUAUUGUGGUGCCCUAGGUUGCAGGCAGAAACUGGGUAACAAGCAUAGCAAACUAAAGCUCUCUUCAGAUACGGAUGUUCAACUUACUCUCUUUGAGGUGGCACCAUAUAGAAUCUGCACUUUUUACCUUUUUUACUUGUUUAUGAAAGCAAUUCAUGGCAUCUUAGGUGCAUUUUUCAGUCACAUUGCAUGUUCAAUUAUGCUCGAUUUUUGUUUUUGAAAGUACCAGUAUGCUAAAUUUCGGGUUCCUUUUCGUCCCUUUAGCAUUGUAAUCUCAAAGAUAUUGGAAAAUUUUGGCAAGAAUUAGACUGUUUUCUGUCGCAGCCUUCUAAUGAUACAAAAAACAUCAAAAUUAGGAAAUAUUGGCUUUGAAGUAUCACUAUGAUGAACUAUAGUUGGUUAUCCCUUGGAUCCUUUGUAGUAGUGUUGCUUAUCAUUGUAUUUAUUAACUUGAAAUUUUCAAGUCCUUAGUUUUCCAAAAUUUUCACCUUUUCCCCUUAAAUUUCUUGUUCCCCUUCUUUUUAAGUUCUUAUAAAUUUCCAAUAGAAAAACAUGGAAACUUAUCUGAAACUGCUGAAACUCUUGAAACCCUUUUUUUCAGUGAUGAACAGAACCAGUACCGCGUUUUAAGACCAUAUGAGAACUUGAAGUUGAGAUAUCUUGCUCAUAUACUUUCACUUUCCAAUGACCGUUCUUUUAAGUAUUGCUUUUUAAGCGAAAUAAUUUACUAUACUUCGUUUUUGCUUUUCAAACCAUAGAAAUAAUUGAUGCUAAGCCUGUUAAUGAGUAACAUGAAACAGUAUAAUAACUUUAAAGAAACUGGACAAAACUGAUGCCAAAGAUGUCCUUAAGGACUUACGAAUCUAAGAGCAUUUACUUGUUUGAACUGUGAGUAAUAUGGAAUUAUUGCAGUAGCUCUAUAUUUUUUCUUUUCACUGGCUGCAGAACCACUUUAACCUAGCAAUUUUAAUGUUUUAAAUCAUGAUCAACAAUGCAGCUAUCAAUUUGAAUGAUGCAAACUAAAAGGGUUUUAUUUACAUAUAUUUCUUCUUAUGUCGCAAAUUGUCGAGUAUAUCACGUUAACUAUGUAAAAUAGGCAUGAAAUGUCAGUAGUUUGGUGGAUGUUUUACCAUUACAUGGAACGAAAAUAGAGUCAUGAUUGUGCACGUAUGUAUUAUGAAAAUCAAUGCGGACAGUCUAGCAUUAACUAUUAACUAUUACGAACAACUGUUGUUACAAUUUAUAUAAAUAAGACAUGCAUGUCAAAAUGAACAGUCCACUAACUCUUUAAGUAAUCUUUUCUUUUUUUUUUGGUAGGAUGAAGAAAAUGGAAGAUCAAAUAUCGGUAUAAUGCUAUUCUUACAUAGAUAGUUACAUUGAUUUCGUCUACGUUAAGUUCUUGCUAGUUGGGAAGGUGACAAUCUUCUGAAAUAUGCGAGUUUGUGUUUUCACAUGCUUUUACUUUUAUUAUUGUUGCUUUCCCUCUCCAGCAGCAAGCUAUUCUGUUCCAUGGAAAAAAAAGAGCAAUUCCAGAAAUUGUAUUGGGGAAGUUGUACGAGUAUGGUCUCGUUGUGAUGAAAGGUAUUGGUAGAAUUCUUCUUAUUUGGUCAAGGGUGGAAAAAUGCAAUUUGAAUUGUUAAGUAUAUACUACAUAGUUCUCUAUAGUUUGGGGAAGCAUCACGCUGGGGGUGCGGGGGGCAGCGUUAAUGGCUGAAACUAAAUUGUUGCCCAACGCUUUACUUGGUUACAGCUGCGAACUUCUUUUUCUCUUAACUCAAAUUAUAUGUCAUUAAUGUGCUAGCUGAUUGGCUGCCUAUUUUUUGUUAUUAUCAAUUAAUUACUGCAAGGAAAACCCAUAGAUGUAUAGAUUGCAAAGAGUCUACCAUACUGCCAAUGCAUUAACUGUUGUAGGUUUUGAGUUUAGAGCCUAACCAAUUAGACCUCGAAGUUUGGCACAGGUGAAUGUGGGCUGUGCCGGAAAAAAAAGUUAAUUGUGAGGAAGCCCAAUAGAUGUAUGGAUUGCAAAGAAUCUACCAUCUGCCAAUGCAUUAACUGUCAUAGAUUUUGAGUUUAAAGCCUAAGCAAUUCAGCCCUUGGAAGUUCCACACGCAUGAAUGUGUGCCGUGCUGUGGAGUACAUCCUUACCCUUUAGCUAAUGAACAUAAGCUUUUAUUCCACUUUUCUAACUUCUGGAGAUUUACCUCUGUUGAUCAAUAACGUGAAGCUUGCAAUAAAUGUGGCAGGUACGUUGGCGGUGUUAUACUUGGAUUUAACUGCUAUUCAAGAGAGCAUACGGUAAGCAAUAUUAUUGAUUUGAGUUGUUACAUGUCUAAUAUUGGAUAAUUUCAAAUAUCAGAAGCACUAGGAUUGAAAUAGCAUGCAUUCCUUUUGUUAGAUCAUCAAGGAGGAUGGGCAUAUUGAAAAUUUUGACCUGUCAAAGGAAGAUUGGGACUUCGUGUGUAUGGUUGAUGUAAUUUAAGAGGUAUUCCAAAUUUUCUCUGUCCGUCCGCUUUUCUCGUUGAAUACCAGGAAUUUUAUGCAAUCGAAGUGUGGACAAGAACUUUGAUUUACCAUGAAGCAUAAUAUACAGUUAACAAUGAGUUCUGAUAUGUUACAGAACUUCCUUCCUCUUCAGGUCAAGUUAAUGGAGGGAUGGUCAAGUAGGCCUGAUCUAAUAACAUUUGGCAUAAGGUCAAUUCGUUUUCUCUCAUUGUAAUAUGUCUCCUACAAAUCCAUGAGACCUGCCCACUGUCCCUAUACCUCACCCUCCAUAAACCAAACCUCUCUACUAUGUCCGUCCUAGCCGUAAACACCCUAGACUAGGGAUGAAAAUGGAUCUGGGUUGGUGGAGCUCCCGCCCCAAUCUGUCCCGAAGGGGGCGGUAAGUGGAACAAAAAAUAUAAAAAUAUAUAACAUGUCCCGACGCCACACUAAUCCACCAAAUAAAUGACGCCGCACUAAUCCACCAAAUAAAUGGAGCGGGAGGUAGGAGAUUAUUUUUUUCCUUCAAUCUGUUCUAAUUCGUUAAAAAUUCGUCAAAAAUUCGCUCUCGUCGAGAAUGAGACGGUAAGUGGAGUUAAAAAUAAAAUAAAAAAUAAUAUAUCCCGACAAGAAAUGGAGGGUGAGAUUUCUCCAAAUUUAUCUAUUUUUUAUUGCUUAAAGAAAAAGUGCCUCAACCAAAGAAUAAAAAAAUAGAAGAAAAAAAAGAAAGGUAAGACAACCAAAGAAUAAAAAAAAAGAGAAGAAAAAAAAAGGAAAGUUAAGGCAUGAUAUUAAGCUCCACAAGUGAAACUUUCCAUUUUGGGGUUAUUAACGGGAGUUACUAUUUCUCACUUUACCUAAAAUGGAAAGUCUCGCAAUUUUACUGAAACGGAAAAUAGCCCAACCUUCGCGGGGCCUUACCCGGCCCUUUAGAAAAAUUCGAUCCAUUAAGCAGGAUAUAUAUACCAAUCGAAGCCCAUCUUGCUCCAUGCAUGGGCCGUUCUAAGGCCCAUUUAUCCGUAUACCUAUAUAUUAUACUGUAUUAUUAUGUAUAUUAUAUUACAGUAUACUGUAUAGUAUACUUUGUAUAGUAUUAUGUACUAUACUCCCUCGACUUUGAUUGUUUUGUUUUUUGACUAAAAUCCUUUUAACUUUUUUUUUGAGGUCAAACAAAUUUAAAUAUAUCAAAAUAUAAAAUUAAAAAAAGAAAAAGGAAGUCGAGGGUUCUCAAUAAAAGGAAAAACAACUGAAAGGUCUAUUUCGAAAAUGGUCAAUACUUGAGGGGGGCUUCAUACAUAUUUACCUAGAAAAAAAAUGGGAUAUGGACUGAAAUGAGUUGUUAGGCCGAGUUGUUGUUGGGUGAUGGGCCGUCACACCUCCUUUAAGAUGGAGAGGGAACAACCAACUAAAUGGGCCUAGAGAAGGUCUGAUAUACCCUUAACGGGCCAUAUCAGGCCCAGCUCCGAUUGCCCUCGUUACACCUUCUAAUGGUUCUUUCCGUUUUUGGUAAAAUCCGCGGAGGCUUUCCAUUUUAGGUAAAGUCCGAAAUCGUAUUCUCGUUAAUAUUCCCAAAAGGGAAUGUUUCACUUGCGGGGCCACAUUUUACCCCCUUUUCUUUUUCAAUAUAUAACUUAUUUCAAUAUCUUCUAAAAGUGGAAUAUCUAAUCCCAAAAUAAAAUUAGUUUUAAGACAUCUUCUAUUAAAUAUGUGAAUUAAAGUGUGUAAUUUUUAAAUGGAUAUAUAAAAUUUAAAAGUUUUAAUUUAUCGUCAAAAUUUUAUAAGUUGUGGUGAAUCUUUCCAUUUUGAUAUUGCUACCUUAAGAUUUCUCAUUAAGUGAUUAUCUCUCUUUUAUUAUUACUCAGAAAUAGAGGGGAAAAAAAAAAAGAAAGGAAAAAUUAUUACUAAGUACAUAUUUCCGGCCUUGGUGGUGAAAAUUUUCAUUUUGAGCUAUUUACGAGAGUUACUAUUUUCGACUUUGUGUAAAAUAGAAAGCCCACCAAUGUUACCUAAUAUGUCAAAAGAAAAAACAAUGUGUUUGGCGAACCGUGCUGGGCCCUAGGCAAGGCCCCCCAAAGCCCACUCUAUCUUGGAUUACGUGGGCCGUUAUUAAACCAUGUGCCUUAAAAUUGCGGUUUUAGAUAAAGUCUAGUAACUCUCGUUGAUAUAGCCCAAAAUGGAAAGUUUUCACUUGCGAGCCGCUUUGCCCCUUUUUUUUAUUUACUUUUUCUUUUUUUCUCUUUUUUGGUUAAGGUAAGGGAUUUUUUUUUUUCAUCUUGAGCAAUGAAAAAUAGUUAAAUUUGGAGAAAACUCACCAGUUUUUUUUUUUUUGUUUUGCUGGAGUAAUAAAAAAGAGCUAAAUAUAGAGAACACACUUUUUCUUUUUUUUCCUCUAUUGGUAAGAAAUUAGAUACCAAUAAUAAUAUCAUAACACUCUAAAUUAUUAUUUAGGUGUUGAAAUAAGUUAUCUAAUAUUAUCUAUAAUCAACAUAAAAAUAUUACAAACUUAGCUACUAAUAAUGAUACCAUAAUAUUCUAAACUGUUAUUUGGGCGUUGAAAUAAGUUAUCUAAUAUUAUCUAUAAUCAAUAUAAAAAUAUUUUUGUCUUUGACUAAAACUCAAAAUUGGUGAAAUGUCUAACAUAAGAUAGUAUAUUUUCUCCACCAAAUUAAUUAUUGGAACAAGAUAACUCGUGAAAAAUACAAAGUCCUUAUAAAAUUAACUUAUUAGAUAUAAAAAUUAUCUAAUCAACUUAUUUAAAACUCUAGUCAAAACUCAUCACCUAUAGUGGAAUAAUAUAUUUGACCUUCAAAUCGGUUUUUUCAAAAUAGAUGAAUUACUUCAUAAAUUAAAAUAUACUAUUAUGCAACACAUGAAUAUCAAAACCUUAAUUUAAAUCUUUUACUUGCAAUCAUGUUAGAUAAAUAUUAUGCUGAAUAAAUCAUUUUUAUAAGACCUCAGGCCUUAUUGAAAUUAAUUAUUCAAUAUUAAUUGACAAAUAACUCAGUCCGUAUAAAAUUUUUUAUAUAAUUAGAAGUUAUAAAUAUAAUUUUUGCUCAUUGAGAGCUAUAUUUAUGUUCUGGGAAGGUCCAUGUAAAGACUUUCUUACAAACUUGAAAGUAUGAAUUUAAUUAUUGUUUACUAAAUGAUCUUAAUAUUUACAAUUUGAGAGGACACUCGGGAAGGACCACUAGAUGAUUUAUUAAAAGUAUAAAUUAAUUACAUAAAAUUUACAAGUUUAAUCAUAAAUUGUGUUAUCUAUAUAACAGUCUAUUUACCUCAAAAAAGAAUAAAAAAUAAAAAUUGUGGUGAGUGUUCUACAUAUUUUCUAUUUUUAAUUACGACAAAUAAAAAAAAUUCCGUGAGAUUUCUCCAAAUUUAUCUAUUUUUUAUUGCUUAAAGAAAAAAUGCCUUAACAAGAGAAUAAAAAAACAGCAUACUAUUAAGCUCGAAAGUGAAACUUUCCAUUUUCGGGCCAUUAACGAGACUUGCUCUAUCCGACUUUACCUAAAAAGGAAAGUCUAGCCAGGUUACCGAAAAUAGAAAAUAGCCCAACCCGUUCGGGCCUUACGCCGGCCCAUUAGGAAAAUUUGGCAUAUUAAGACCCACUAUAAUACUAAUCGAAGACCAUUUCGCUCCAUUCGUAGGCCGUUCCUAGGCCCAUUUACCCGUAUACUUGUAUGUUAUACUGUACUAUGUAUAUAUUAGUGUACUGUAUAGUAUACUUUGUAUAUUAUAAUGUAGUACACUCCCUCAACUUUGAUUUUCUUUUUUUUCUUUUUUUUUUUGACUAAGAUCCUUUUUAACUUUUUUUUUUAAUGAGCUCAAAUAAUUUUAAAAAUAUCAAAUAUAAUAUUAAAAAAAGAAAAAAGAGGUAGAAGGGUCUCAAUAAAAAGGAAAUUAAUUAAAAGAUCUAUUUCCAAAAUUACCAAUACUUGAAGGAGGCUUCAUACAUAUUUACCGCUUUUAAAUGUCAUAAAUCGUUUGCCCUCUGUAUUAAAAUUAUUUUUAGUGUUUCAUAUUAUAUGUUUUUCGGAGUUUCAGAUGAUAGAAAAUGUAUAAGUUCAGUAAAAAUAGUAAUUUGUCGUUUUUUAAAUUGGGUAAAUUAUUUACUACUUGGCCUUAAUUUUAUAAAUAAAAAUUUAGAUGUUUAUUUUUCCAAUUAAAAAAUUUGUAGUUUUAUAAAUGAAAAUUCUGUUGACUUUCUAAUGCCUCUGUUCUCAAGCAAGGAAAGUAUUAGGAAACAACAAAAAAAUACUAUUAAAUUAUACUAAAAAGUUGCUGAGAUCAAAUUCAAAUAUACCGUUAAGUAUAUCUAUUUUUUAUUGCUUAAAGAAAGAGUGCCUUAAACAACGAAUAAAAAAAAAAAAAAAAAAAAAAAAAAAAAAAAGCUACGGCAUAAUGUUAAGCUCCACGGGUGAAACUUUCCAUUUAGGGGCAAUUAACGAGAGUUACUAUUUCAGACUUUACAUAAAAGGAAAAGUCCCACAAUUUUACCGGGAAAAAUAGCCCAACCCGCGCUCGGCCUUACCCGGCCUAUUAUAAAAUUUUGGCCUAUUAAGCCCAAGUAUAAUACUAACCAAAGCCCAUCUCGCUGUAUGCGUGGGCCGUUCCUAGGACCAUUUACCAUAUACGUAUAUAUUAUAUUGUACUUUGUACAUUAUAAUAUACUGUAUAGUUUACUUUGUAUUUUAUAGUGCACUACGCUCCCUCAAAUAUACUGUACUUUGUAUUUUAUAGUUUACUUUUUUUUGGGUUUUUUGUAUACAGUAUACUAUACUAUACAAAGUACAGUGUAAUGUAUACCUAUAUGUCAACUAGGCCUAGGAACGGCCUAAGCAUGGAGCAAGCUGGGCUUCGAAUAGUACACAUUAGGCCUUACUAGGCCUAUGUUAAUGGGCUGAGUACCAUUUUUGGUAGAGUCAGAAGUGGUAUGUCUCGUUAAUAGCCCCAAAUGGUUCACUUGCAGAGCUUAAUAGUAACUUUAACACUUUUUCUUUUGAGCAAUCAAAAAUAAAUAAAUUUGGAGAAAUCUCCCAAUUUUUUUUUCUUUUUAUUGUUGUGAUAAAAAAUAAAAACAUAUGGAGAACACUCACCAUAUUUUUAAAAAUUUUGAUUACUUAUAUAUUACACAAAUUGUGACUAACUCUCUAUUGCUUGUUGGCAUUUUGUAAAAACUGUUUUGAACCUGAAUAUCAUAUAUGGACCUAAUUUUCGAGUAUCUAAAUGCCUAUACGCUACACCUUAAUAUUCACUCAAAGUCUUUUAAUUAAUCGAAUUGUCACGCUAACUUUAGAUUUUGAAUAUACAUGGAAGGUGAUGGAAAGGAUGUGAAGUUGCACUAAGCGAUACAGAUAGAUUGAGCCUUAUUUAUAUGGUUUGAUCUAUUAGCCGCCAGAUUGCUUUUUAGUUAGUAAUAUUGCAGUACUGAGUAUUAUUUUAUUUCAAUGUUAUGUAUAAAACAAACUUUAAAAAUGGUUUGUCUCGGUGCUAAAUUCAUUAGCUUUUUUUAAAUUUCUUUAUAAUAUAUUUUUUUGCGUCAGUAUAUAUUAUGGGCCGAGUCCCUCUUUAGCCUAUGGAUGGUGGACCGAGCUAAUGCAAAUCUGCCGAAAUUUAGCAGCAUUCAUUCCCUGAUUCUCUGUAUGAGGACCAAUAUAAGCACAAAGAUUGGACAAACUGUUAAUGGUCCUGCUUCUAUUCAUUGGGUCAUUCUCGGUUCAUACGACGGUAGUGAAAACGCUCCAUGGCCUUAGUACGAAGGUUGAUCAGAUAGGCGGGCCUACCUCUGCGAGGUUCAGAAAAUGUACGUCCCGCUCCGGCCCAGCUCAAAAUACACGGCCUCAAUGGAGGCACGAGCCUAGUGGGCCACAACCUCGCCUCCCCAUUGACAAACCUAACGCCUUAUUGCAGGUCCAAUCCCCGGAGUGUAUAGACAGUGUUAAGCAAAGACUAAAUGGAUCCAAUGGGUCAAUAGGCCCAUUAAAAUGCCUAGUGUCCGAUAAUCUGAUAGGGCCGAAUAUCGGUGUGUAAGUUCAUCCGAUGCAUCAUCGGCCCAGAUUAUGUCGGUCGAAUAUUAGCAUUUCUUAUUGGAAAAAAAAGUUUUGUUUAGGGUUUUUAGAGUUUAAGGUUUAGGGGGUUUAUGGUUUUUUAGAUUUUAGGGUUAGGGUUGAAAUGAAAGAAUUUUUGCUCAAAAAUGAUUAUAGAUACGGAAAGGGCUUGAAAAUUACGUGUAAGGUUCGGGGUUUAAGGUCAGCUAGACCGAAAUCAGUGUAUGUAAUCGUUAAACCAGGCAGAAUCCGGCCCAUUAGCAUGUGGAUAGAAUAAGCCGAGCUACUUGCGUUUAGAUUGGUAGGCGGCUCUUAUUCGGCAAGCCUGUAAUUUUUAAUUAGUUAUCUACUAUCUCUGGAGGGAGAAUGGAGUCCACGGAAUGGGAUGUGGUCCAUGUGGAACUCAGGAUUUGGGUCCUCGUUUUGGCAAAAUUGUUGCCGGCGUCCGAGCAUCAGCGACUCGUCAAAACAUACACUUAGAAUUCAAACAUCCAGGUUUUGGAUAUAAAAUACAGAAGAGGUUGUUUCGAAAAUUCCAAUUGUUUGAUACUCUAUGAAUUAAGGAAUAGAACAAUUGUAACUAUAGAUUUCUAUGGAAAUCAUUUCUGGGGUCAAUCAUAAGCCCAGUGUGGGCAAUAUUAAUAAGCAGGCUGAAUGACCCACUCAGCCCGGUCCCACGCCUAGGAUAUCUGGGUCUAAUAUAUAGGCCUUGGGCCCGGACCCUUGGGCUUGGCGGGCUUAGUACGAAAAAUGGGCGAAGUCUAGCUCUAAGCCAUGAAUCUCCUGGCACCUAUAUGGUCCAACCUGAAAAACUACAAUCUAAGCCUUUGUAUUCCUAGGCCCAAAUCCAGCCACGAACUCGGAAAUCCAGCCUUCCUAUUAUUUGCCAUAUGAUGAUAUUUCACAGAUGUGCCCGAAAUUAAAUAAUUAGCAUGUAUGCAUAUUUCUUUUUUUUUUGGGAAAACUUCAAAAAUCCCCCCUGUGGUUUCGUAGUUUCUCACUUUGCCCCCCUGUGGUUUAAAAUGUAUCAAUUUGCUCCCCUGUGGUUUCGUUUUUAUCUUUUCGGUAGCUUUUUCGUUAAUAUUUCAUUAAAUUAUAUACAAAAAACUUCAGAUACCCAUCUAAAUUUAUCAAAUAUUCACUUUAGUACCAUUUAAUUUUAACUUUAUUAUUGAUUUAAGAAAAAAAAAUAAUGAAAUUGAUAAAAAAAAGAGAAAAAAGAAACCAUAGGAGGGCAAAUUGAUACAUUCUAAACCACAGGGGGGCAAAGUGAGAAAAUACGAAACCACAGGGGGGUUUUUUGAAGUUUUUCCUUUUUUUUUUUUUUUCAUAGUAUAGUAAUUACCUCCAUAUUAAUAUCUACUGUAGCCCUUGCUUAGUCUAUACCUGUUACAUCCAACAAAGCCCUUUGAGUUAGAGUGGGAGGAUGGAACUGUUGAAGGCCUAGAUCAAGUUCAAGGAAAAUGAGCCUAUUUAGUUUAGGGAGUAGUAUAUACUUAUGGACCCAUUGGUAAAAGAAGGUAGCUGGAUUUAGAGAAAGCUCUCUUUUGUGUGUCUGCUCAAUUUCAUUUUAUCUGCAAAAAAAAUUUCACCUACUUGGUGUAGGAAAAGUCCAUCCCAAGAAGAAUGCAUGCAUGACUGAAGCGAGAAGUAUAAGCUGGAUCUAACAAAAGUAUCCAAGGACUUAGUAAAAUAACAAGUGAAAUUAGACAGCUAGAUCAUUCAAAGGAGCAGCUGAAAAAGCCUUUUAUAAAAAUAUGAUCUAUGAGGCCGAACAACAUCUUAAUACGUAUAUAAAUAAAUUGUUUAGUAAAUAUAAAUUUGUAUUAUUACCUUACUCAUUGGAAAUUUAAGCCUCAUUUGGCAGCAGGCGAGUUCAUUUUGGUUGCUUUCACUUUGCCCGAGAUUAAACCAGUUGCAUGAAUUUUUAUUUUGCUGAAGACCAAUCCCGUUUGUCCAGCUGAACACUUUCGAUCAUAAUCGGGUCGGCCUGCAAAGAUGGUUGGCGUAGUCACUGGAUCCCAUGGAUAAUAAGCCUAGAAACGGGUAUGGCUAAAUCUGACAGGAGUGCAUAGCUAGGCCCAAUGAUCACAAGUUUUCGAAACCGACACCAAAAGGCCAAAAAGAAAUUCAGGCCUUAAUCUGGCUGUCCUGGUUGUCCAUGAAUGUUAGUGGCCCGAAUAUAUCAGGCCGAUGUCGUAUAUCUUUCCUCAGCCGGGCUGAAUGGGACGGGCUUACUUCUGGCUAAUCCCAAAAUCCGCAUAAUUGAGCUGGACGGAAAAAUUACAAGAUCAAAGUAGCGAACUAAAAUCCAUUCCCAAAACUGAUCAGGCAUUCACAUGUAUGGAGAUUAGAGGGCGUUUUGUUAUGGGCCGGGCCAUUUGUCACCUCAUAGCCCAUACAUAAUAAAUACGUAACUCUAGUGCCCUAUGCUAUUUACUAUUUUUUUAGUCUAUAAUGCUUUGUGCCAGAUCUAACUAAGAAUAUGAUGUGAUCCAUACAAUAGGCUCAACAGCAACUUCAAAUUAAUUCAUCGAUUUGAUAACAAUAAUAACAAUUAUUUCAUAACGUCUUGUUACGUUUUUUUUCAUGCUGAGGAAGAGCACGUUAAUUUUGAUAAUGAAAAAAAAAAAAAGAAAUUCACUCUUCCUGCUAAGUUUCGUCGGCUGGAGGCCCCAACCAAGUUGGGCUGCAAAUUAAUAAAAACGAAAUGCUCCAAAAGUGGACUUGUGAGAGCACGCCAUCCUCCACUCGGGCUGUUACUAGGUCCAUUUGUUUACGGAGGAGGCGUAAUUUUCUCUCUUCCAGACCAUUUGUAUUGCUUCGUCUUUGCGGAUGGGACUAAGUCUGAUAUCGUGUUAUUAUUGGCCCGGGCUUAAUUAGCAGCAGUCUUUGUAUUGAAAUUUCAAUUUGUUUUGCUACUUGCUAUUUUGUGCUUUCUAAUUAUUUCUUAUUAUCUCAAGACACCGAAAGUAUAAGCUCUUGCCAGUAACAGCAUUUGAGAUCUUACAAAAGUAAGUCUUGCUACUAAUUAAGCCCGGCCUAGUUAUAAUAAAGUAUCAAAUUGAGUCAGGUCCACUAAAAGUCGGGUCUAACAGAGAGGGCCUAAUUUACAGAAAUAGUUUGAAGUAGCUAAUUGGGCCUACUGGUUGGGCCCAGGGGCAUGUGGACCUAGGAGCGGGUUUUGAGUAUUUUGAUCUUAUCCCAAAAUAGAAAUUCCUAUUACUUAACCGAACUAAAAUCCAAUUAAAUCACACAUUCUCCCUUGGUGCUCCCCUUCUUGAGAUGGAGAGGAUAUAUACUUAAUUUUAACAAAAUAAAACAAACAAGCUUUUAGUUAAUACAAAUUUUAUAAGAAAGAGAUGUUGCAAUGGCCCACGAGCCGACAAGGCCCAACUGCCUAUUUCGGACAAAACCUUGGUUUUUCAUAGAACUGAGGCCCAUUUGAAAUAAACCCCUUUACUUUUCUUUUUGAUUGAUAUCCGAAAAGUUCUAACUAAUCUAACUUGAUUUAUUUUGUUUAGUUAAGUUGGAAAUUUGAUAAAAAAAAUUGACAGUAUUAAUUAAGUAAUUAAAUUUGAUGAAAUGGGUAAUAAAUUUGAUGAAACGGAUAAUAAAUUUGAUGAGAUCUCUAAUCUAUUUACUGAAAAAACUAAUUUUUUUAAAAAUAUCAAUAAGUAAAGAAUGUCUCAAUUAACGAAAAAGGAGAUUGUUAGCCUGUUAGGUGCACCAGCGAAGGGCCUCGGUUGGCCCAUUAAAAGUCUAUUUUGCUUUCCCUGCUGCCAUUUAACCCAUUUCAAAACUGCCAAGUUAAUCUUUUUUAGAUCGAAAUGAAGCACUCCAAAAAUAAGGUCAUCGGUUGCAUGAGAUGAUUGCAAAUAAAAAAUUUGACUUUUGCUCAUGAAAGUUUUUAUUUUUAUAAUUUGACCGAAAAAUAUAUUUUGGAAGACAAUAUAACUAUUCUUUGGGCAUUAAACACAGAGUUCAUGGUCACUGAGCUCGGGUAAGAAAGCCUUGUUAGCUCUGUUGGACCUGUCUGCAAAGUCCAGCCCAUAACAUACAAGGCCUAAACAAAUCAGAUAUCAAUCACAUGGCCCUUACCAAGCUCCAAAUAAGCCCAAUCCUUACUUAACCCAAAUCUAAAUCGAACCAUAUAGGGUUCACGUAAGUAAAAUAUAGGGCCAAGAAAGUAGUCCAAGACUAAGCCCAAGUCCAACCCAAUUAUGUGGACUUUACACAGUCCUAACUCAUGCUUAGGGCCUUCUAAAGGCCUUUCAGGCUUUGCAAACGUUAGGGAUUUCAGGGACUUGUUUUUUGAAUUUUUUUGGUGAAAGGCCUUGGGGCUCGGGGCCUUGGGGCCUUUUAAAGCCUUUUAAGGCUUCGGGCUUUUAGGAACUUUAGGGGCUAUAGGAUUACGAGCUUAAGGGUACGGACUUCGGGCCUUGGGGCCAUUUAAGGCUUUUGGGUCAAAACGGGGCUUUCGGGUUUAGAUUUUUUUUUUUUUUUUUUUUGGUUUAGGGUUUUUAGGGUUUAGGGUUUAGGGUUUUAGGGUUUAGGGUUUAUAGGGUUUAUAGGGUUUAGGGUUUAUAGGGUUUAUAGGGUUUAGGGUUUAGGGUUUAGGGUUUAGGGUUUAGGGUUUAGGGUUUAGGGUUUAGGGUUUAGGGUUUAGGGUUUAGGGUUUNC